CCACUGUUCGAGAACAGCUUCAUCCUCUGGAAGACUCGAAUCCACAUUCUUUCGACAACACGUGAUCUCCAACAACAUAACUCCAAAGCUAAAACAUCUGCUUAACUGUCCCCGGCAUAUUCCGGUGCCAUUCUGGUGCUACAUAUCCCUUGUCCCUCUAAUUCCGGUGAAGGUUUUAGUUUGGUCUGACUUCAGCAAACUUUGCCAAUCCAAAGUCAGAAACUUUGGGGCACCUGCUUUCAUCUAUUAGUAAUUCUGAGGUUUUAUUCACAGUGGAUGAUCUGAGUGUCGCACUCUUCAUGUAGAUAAACAAUACCCCUUGCAAUGUUGCGAGCAAUUUCCAACCUUUCAGGGAAAGCAAGGUCGUUUUUCAGUGAGAAGAGUAUGUCAGCGAGGGACCAUUGCUCAUGUACUCGUAUACCAGGAGCCUGUGCAUGGCAAUAGCCCGAGCAGACGGGCUAGGUUUCUGUGACGUGUUUUCCCAAUGACUUUCAUCUCAUUCUGAAAUUCUCUUUCCCUUCAGCUAGAGCUUUCUCCAGUCUCUAGACAGCAACGAGUACUUGAUAUAUCCCUUUAAACUGUCCCAAAUGAUCCCCUGCCAAUUUCUUCCUUGAAACCACCAGUAAUAUUUUCUAGCUUUGCAUAAGUGAAAGCUCGAGGAGCAAAUACCUCAUUCAAUGCAGUACCAUCAUUAUUUGGCACCCUUUUAUGCCAAUACAUGAUAUCUGUAAACGAUGAUUCCGAAAAUCGACACCAUAGCAAGCCCAAAAGCAACAAAUGAACCAUUUAUGAUGCGAACCUCGUGAUCACGUGGUCACGCAACCCACACGCAAAGACACCAAUUCCCGGAAAACCAAGUAAAUCAGGUUUGAUAGGAGUGUGACACAAAGAUAACUUGUACCUAGGCACCAGCACUAUUGGAAACGAAAAACCCCCACCCAACGAAUAUAGAUUCGCGAAUGAGAAGUAUAAGGAUGAUGCCACGAAGCCAGUUGUUCUUCGAUAAGUCGUUUUCAGUUCUUUAGAGAACCAAGGAAGGGAGAUUAUCCCACCAACACACAAGUACUGCAAAGAAGUUUAUUGAUAUAAAAGCCUCUAUUUAUACUGACUCUAGACUUAAAGAAACCCUAAUGGACCCCCCUUAGGUGGACUUAUAUGAAGCCCACUUACAAUUGACCCAAAUAAGUAAUAAUAACCCAAAAACUAAGAAGAAAAUAAUAAAAAUAAUAAAAAUCCGAAAAUUACCAUCCUAAAUAUGCUAGAAUCAAAUUUGUAUUGAUGUCCUUGAUUAGCUUGGAUAAAUUUCCUCCUUUGUUGCUGAUUUAAUUACUUUUCUUCCUAUGUUAGGAAAAGCAUUAAAUAGUCCUCCCCUCUUUAGGAAUAAGAUAUGGCCAACUUCCUUACUUAAUUAGGAGAAUAAAUUGCUGGCUUUUUAUCCUUGUAGCAUUAGGAAAUAAAACAAGCCUAACAAGGCUGGUAUUGGGCCGGACAUAUCAACCCCUUGUUCCACAUGAAUUGGGCUCUUCUUGGACAUGAACUAGAUGAAUUAAAGGCUGUCCUUCAUGCUCCUUAAAUGUCCCAAGCCCUUCUAGGUCCAUCUUGCUCCAUAAGUUCUGAACAAGCCCAUUCAAUGCUUCUUUAAGCUUCUUUGCCCUAGCUCUUGUGAUUGGCCCAAUUGGCACCUCCAAUGGAUCGUUGGCAUGAUUACGCUUGGUGUUGGGCUGAUCCGCAUCAACGUAUUAUUAGGAUUGUCCUGCCAGUGCCAAGGUUCUUCUUCUCGGUUAUAGGCUCUUUUCUGUCCAUGGUGGACAUGGGUCUGCCCACCUUGACGACAGCCAAGUUCGUACUUCCUAAGUUUCUCCUCCCAAAUCUCAAAGGAAGCCUUUGCUUUCUGCAGUACUGCCCAUCAGUGAAUAAUGCUGCUUCACAGUUACAGUCUUCCAAACAGGCUUGCUUACAAUUGUCUUUCAUUGUUAAAGACAAAACGGAGUACGAAACAUCUUCCCAGAUAGUAUUAGACAGCUCUUCCAUGGUGUAUGUGCUACUUCCAUUCUUGUCGUUGCAACUUUCAGCAUUGAAAUCCCUCUGACAGCCAGAAGUCCAAUUUCCCUGGGUAACAAACUUAAAUCCAGGAAGACAAGUACAUUCAGCUUCCUUAUCCUUCAGAACACAAUAUCCAUUAAGACCACAUGAUCCUUUCGGGUCGCACUUGUUGCUUGUGGAUCAUGACCACAUAUCUGACCAGUUUCCAUUCCGUGUCAGAUUUCGUGAAUAUAAUCUGAAAAUCCCAUCAGCAUCAAGUUUCAUCAUAUUAAUUGUUUCUUUCGUGGGAUAUCCUCCAGCUGUAAUGUUUUUUAUGUUGAAACCUGUGGAAUUGAGCAGGUAGAGACGGCCAUCCGGAUCAAGAUUUAGGGUCACAUUAUCUCCCUUCCCAUCAGUAAAAGAUGAAAAAUAAGAAUAUGGAGCUGUAUCUGGAGUAUUAACAGGAUACUGCACAAGGUUGCCAUCAUUUUGCAUCUUGAGUCGGUAAAUACCAGUUGAGAGUUCAGUUUCUGAAACAGGAGAAACCAGCUCUGCCCCUGCUCUGAGCUGUUGAGUUGGCAAAAGGGUAUCUGUUGGGUGGUCAAAACUCUGCCAUAUAAUCUCGCGAUCAGAAUUAUAUAGCACAAAGUUGCCUGAAUCAGACAUAGAAGCUAAAGAAGCUGGCUGGGAAGCAGAAACUAUCGGAGUCUCAUCCCCUUGUGCUGAUCUCAAGACAACCCUGCCAUCACUGGUGAAGAGCAAGGUCGCAUUACUGGGGACUGGGGCAUCAUCCCUUCUAGCAGCCCACACAACAGUCUCUAGUGAAAUCCCGGAUAGAAAAACCCCUAUAGAAUAGCCGUCGCGUUGUCGGAAAAAUCCGAAAGCAUAAAGACCGGAAGGUGACAACCAUGAGGAGUUUGUGAUAGGUGUUAGAGAAGAUCCGAGGGUUAUAUUGGUCUGUCUUUGAGCUGAAGCUGUAAAAGAUAAGGCGAGAAGAAGAAAAAAGAUGAUAGAAGCCAUGGAUAGGGAUUUAGCUCUUGUGUGGUAUGUGAGUGUCAAAAUAAGGAUGUCUAUUGUUCCAGCACUCCAUUAUCUUUCUGUGGUUUCCAGCAGUCAAGCCAGGCACUCAAAACAUAAAAGUCUAGCCAUAGAAUCCACCGCGUUUCCCUACCAAUUGGUGGAAAUUGUUGCUCUUAGUUUUAUGCUUUCAAAGUCACCGAAAAAACUUGGCAGUUACUUGGUGCUGGUCCACUUUUUUCAUCUUGGUAUCCCCCAUUUGAAAAGUCAUUUGCUAAUUUCCCCGGGACUAUUCUUGGUUCUAAUUUUCUGCAGCAGAUUCUUUUUUAUUUGUCAAGUACCAUUCAAUACGCUUAGAAGACACAAUCUUUAGCUUCCUGCAGACAGCUUCAACUAGUUAAGAAAUAUCGAUUUGGUGCCAAUGCUAAUACCCUGGCAUUAUACUAGGGCAAGACAGAACAACUUGCUAGCUUAUAGUCAUGUCCCUCAAAAGCUAAAGCCUAGCUAGCAACCUCAGUUUCUAACGAGAGAGCAUCUCUACAUGUUGCGUAACUAACAAUCCCUUGAAUAUUAAAACUGAAAAGUGGAACUCAUUGGACCGUUGAUUUUAUGACCAGUUCCACCGUACGACUUAAUUCAGAGUACAAUUGAGGUGGUCACGGCAAGGACCGGGUCAAGGGACAACCUAGCAUUUGCUGACCUGCUCUUCUCAGCUAAAGCUUCUUUUUUUUUUUUUUGAAAGAUGCGCAUAUUAUUUAAACGUCAAAGUCUGACGGGAAUAGAACAGAAGCUAUACAAUAUCUUACUAUGACAAAAAGCCAUAUAUAGGAUAAAGCGCAGCAUAAGAUAAACAAAAGCAAAGAAAACCACAAAAAAUCCAUCCGAAUGAGCUGAAGCUAAACAUUCCUCUACAAAACAAAACAAAAAUUACUCAAAGACAUAAUGGGAGAAGAAACAAUAGCAAGGCCAUAGAAAAAUGGUGAAUUCAAAGCCAGGCAACAAAUUCACUUGAUCUUCGCACUCCUUGUUUAGCCAAGUCAUCUGCCAUGCAAUUGCUUUCACGAAAGAUAUGUGAGAAGGUGAUUGAACCAAAAUAUGCUUUUAAUCUAUUAAAAAAGGAGAACAAAUUAUGAUGCUUCCAGGGACGACUGAGAGGAUUAUUCAUCCACAGAAUAACAUUGACCGAGUCAGAUUCGAUGAUGAGGUGUUGAUGGUGUAAGAGGCAAUUAGAUGCUGAUAGUUCAAUGGCUUUGACAAUAGCCCUUAACUUAGCAAUAUUAGAGUCUAAAAUACCAACUGGAACAGAGAACAUACCGAGCAGAUGACCAUGAUGAUUUCGCAACACACCACCUAUUCUAGAGGGGCCUGGCUUACCAAGAGAAGAGCCGUCCACAUUCCAUUUGAGGCUAUUAAUCAUAGGAGGAGACCAUAUAUUAUUAAUCCUGAAAGAGUGAGCAUUGGACCACCGAAGCAAGCCAUCUGCCGAUCUGAUUAGAUCUGUAGGGGAGUAUGGAAAAUCUGAAUGGAUAGCUUUUAGCCAUAGACAUAAACGGGUGAUAAUAAGAAAGAAUAUUGAGUCAUAGUCUGGUGUCUUCUGUUGGAAAAUCAGAUCAUUUCGAAGGAGCCAAAGAGACCAUGCCAUUGAGAAGAACAACAUCAACCAUGCCUUCCUCUGAAAAUUACCAUGCACCAUGGAAGACCAUUGAGACCACAUAUCUGAGAAGCUCUUUGGGCAACACCAAACUAAACCCCACCAUUUAAUGAUUUUGGACCAAAUGAGCCAAUGUUUAUGGCAGUGCAACAGAAUAUGGUCCACCGAUUCUGCUUCAACAAGGCAGAUAGGGCAAAGGGCAAUUUGAUUCCGAGCUACCCAAGAUACCUCUUCGAACCAACAUACAUCGGGUGUUGAGUCUGUUAAUGAUAGUCAUCUAGCAAAAGAUCUCUACCUUAAGAGGGACAAUACCUUUCCAAAUUCCAGCAAAUGAGAAGGCAUUGUUUGUGGAAGGCUUUGGACUCAACAAUACGCAGAGAGAUUUCAUUGAAAAUCUUCCUGAAUUAUUGUCCUUCCAAAUUAGUCUAUCCUCUCCAUCUUUGUCCAUGAGUACUAACGAAAGGAUUGCAUAGAGUUGAUCAAGCAAACCGAUGUUGCGCCCCCGUAGUGGACGUAUCCAUGAAAAAAACCAAAUCCAUUCAUACCCUUCCCACAUUCCCAUCUUAGCAAUGGUGCAGCUUUGUCAUUGGAUAAUUGUAAAAGAGUAGGGAAGUGAUCUUCUAAACAAUGGUUAUUAAGCCAGCAAUCAAGCCGAAACAUAGUUUUCUUGCCAUUUCCAAUAAGAACCAAAGAUUGCUCAUUCACAAUAUCCUGCAACUUAUUAUUUCUCACAUAAUGAUUGACAAUCCAGGACCAUGUAGUUGCAGUUCCUGGAAUAGGAGCUUGCAGCAGGAGAUUAGAGCAAUUGGUGUUGUGGAUGGUUUUGAUCACAUCCUUCCACAUACUUGAUUCCUCCAACCCAAACCUCCAUAACCAUUUAAAGAGCAGAACUUUAUUUUUGUCCCUUAAAGAACCAAUCCCAAGACCACCCGCAUGUUUUGGAAGAGUAACAGUUGCCCAGCUAACAUUGCAUAUUUUGUGCCUAGCUUCUUCUCUCACCAUCUUCAUGCCAUGGUUGCUGAUUGGAGGGGCUUUAUAAUUUAUUUAUUACAAUUGUGCUAUGAAAAAGAAAAAAAAAUGCUAUGAUAUUAAAAAAAAAAAGAAUUUCCUCGUAGCUAUGAUAUUUGUGAUAUUAAUUAUGUUACACUUGUGAUCAUGUUGAUGAGAAUAAUAAUAAAUUCAUAUAGUUUUAGUAAUGUUUAUGUUAGCAAGCAAUGCUACUGAAGGUGAAGAAGCUGUGACGAAGAUGAUGGUGAUGUAAUGGUAAUGACGAUUAAAGUGAUUGAAAAAUAUUUUUCUUUUGAUAAUUUAUUAGUAUAUAUAUAUUUCAAAUGUUUAAGAUAUUUUUCAAAUAAAUGUACCUUAACUAUGAUAAAUGAUAUAUUCUCCGUUUGUUUGCAAUUUGAUUGUAAAGGCUUCCUUUUAACAUAAUUCUGCUUGAUAUGCUCCAUGUAAUUACAAACUAAUUAGCUCAUUCUGGUCUUCUCACUUCUGGCAAUUAGUCAGUUUGAUGGCGGCUUGCAACAAUGUACUGUCACCAACCGUUGUAUUGGACUUCGAUUCACCGAUAAUGCCCUGCAACUGAGCUUGAGCGAAGGAAUGGACAUUUGCAUUUAGGCAAGGAAUUGCCUUGUAGAAUAGAAGAAGAAGAAGAAGAAGGGGGAAAAACAAGCAGAGAUCAUAAUCUCAUUAAUUCUAUUCUUCGUAAAGAGCUCACUCUUGAGAUAACAUAAGACCACCAAACGUUGUUUAUACUAAGAACACGUGAAGCUUUCAUGCUAACGUUUUCUUUUCUCCUCUUUAUAUACCUUUUUUCUUUUUCUUUUUUUUAAUAUCUAAGAUACGGUGGGAAACAACUUUAUUAACAUUAGAAGAAAAAUCACCAGGAAGCUCCUAAAUGCUGCGUAAACAUAUAGCAAUUUUAUAAAGAAAAGGAAUACAUGACCUGAAAAAUAAAGUACAACACUCUGCACAUGAAUCUCUUAUUCCGAACCACAAAACGCAGCUCAUAUAGCGGUAAAAAAAAGUAGGACUUGGAGGGAUUGGGAUUUCGACUGUCCCCUCCAAAAUCAUCAGGAAGCUCCUAAAUGCUGCGUAAACAUAUAGCAAUUUUAUAAAGAAAAGGAAUACAUGACAUGAAAAUAAAAUACAAUACUUUGCAGGUGAAUCCCUUAUUAUGAACCACAAAACGCGGCUCAUACAGCGGUAAAAAAAGAAGUAGGACUUGGAGGGAUUGGGAUUUCGACGGUCCCAUCCAACAUGAGGAGGACCUUUUUCAUUGAAGGGCGGAGGGAUGGCUCAUCAAGAGUGCACCAAAGUCCCACUUUAACCAUCCUAUCUAACUGUUUCUUUCCAACGACUUCUUCACCCACAAGUUUGUCCAUAUCACCGUCCUGAAAACAUUGAUAAACCCACUGUUCGAGAACAGCUUCAUCCUCUGGAAGACUCCAAUCCACAUUCUUUCGACAACACGUGAUCUCCAACAACAUAACUCCAAAGCUAUAAACAUCUGCUUUAACUGUCACCGGCAUAUUCCGGUGCCAUUCUGGUGCUACAUAUCCCCUCGUCCCUCUCAUUCCGGUGAAGGUUUUUGUUUGGUCUGACUUCAGAAUUUUUGCCAAUCCAAAGUCAGAAACUUUGGGGCACCUGCUUUCAUCUAUUAGUAUAUUCUGAGGUUUUAUAUCACAGUGGAUGAUCUGAGUGUCGCACUCCUCAUGUAGAUAAACAAUACCCCUUGCAAUGUUGCGAGCAAUUUCCAACCUUUCAGGGAAGCAAGGUCGUUUUUCAAGUGAGAAGAGUAUGUCAGCAAGGGAGCCAUUGCUCAUGUACUCGUAUACCAGGAGCCUGUGAUGUUCAUCAUGGCAAUAGCCGAGCAGACGGGCUAGGUUUCUUUGAUUUUUUUUGGAGAGAUAAAGGAGGACAAGAGAAAGUAUUGAAUGUGAGUGUUAUCAGUCAUUUCUUAUAUAUUAUAUAUAUGAGGGUGUAUAAAGGAAAUCCCCUCAGAUUCAGCCAAUAUUCAAAUUUCCCAGAUUCAGCCAAUAUUCACUUGCCUCUUGCCCAUGAUCCUGCAACCAUCAUUCAAGCAUAAUAUCAAGCUUGUAACGGCAGACAAAUCUUCAACGUAAAUGCAGUAUAAAUGUCAAGACGUAAUCUUAGCUUACUUUCUAAAUUCAAACCUGCAAAGCUGUGUAUAUAUAUGUUAACAAUUGUAUUACUCAAGGUGUGGCGAAAUAUACAAUUCUGAAGUUUAUCAAAUAGCUCAACUCUCUGAAAUUUCUUAUCUUCAUCAUGGUAUCAGAGCAACAAAUCUCCAACGAGAAUUUGAUCCCUCACAAUCCUAUCUCAACCCCAUCCUCUCCAACUGAAACACCUCUGAUUGCCCUCAACAUCACAUCCCAGAUAAAUGAUAAACUUACCCCCUCUACAUUCCUUCAAUGGCGCGCUCAGUUUGAAGCCUUACUCAUCGGGUAUGAUCUCCUUGAUUAUGUCACUGGAGAAAAAAUCUGCCCUGUAUCCACCAGCACAGCAGUCUGCGCCAUCCAACGAACACACUGGAUAAGGCAAGAUAAGCUUAUCCUCAGUGCCAUUUUGGCAUCCACAUCCACUGUUAUUACUCCUCUCAUCUCCAUGGCCAAGACAUCAAAGGAUGCAUGGCAUAAAUUGCAUACUCUGUAUGCAAGCAAGUCCAGAACCAGAGCAAUGCAACUUAAGGAAGAACUCACAAUGAUAAAGAAGGGCAACCAGUCAAUUCAAACUUAUCUUCAUUCUGUAAAAUCGUUGGCAGACGAAAUCUCCCUCAUAGAUCACCCAAUCUCUGAAGAUGAUCUAACACUCUAUAUUCUAAAUGGCCUGGGAACUGACUUUCGUGAAAUUGCAGGCCCUAUUCGCGCCCGAGAACGACCACUCACUUUUGAGGAACUUCAUGAUCUCCUUGUAAGUCAUGAUGCAUAUCUUCGCCGUCUUGAUGCCUCCUCCCAUCUGAUUGCUUCUGCAAACUACACGCACCGACGGGCUUCGUAUAAUCAAGAAAAUCAGUCUUUUAAAUCUGCCCCAAACCCCACUUUUUUGACAGAUCAUAUGGGCUUCACUAUCGCCAGCCUGGCAAUCCGAGAGACACAACAAAAAUCAUGGACCACGUCGUUUUCCUCCAGCUCCAAAGUGCCAACUAUGUGACCGCAUGGGUCAUACUGCCAAACACUGCAGUCGGUUUCAGUAUACCACCCCAACAGCGAAUUGCACUUCCACCUCACCCGCACAGGAUACAAAAUGGCUUAUAGACUCAGCCGCGUCUCAUAAUAUUACUGGUGAUCUUGCUAAUCUAUCUAUUCAUUCCGAAUACGAUGGCACAGACGAAGUUAUCAUUGGUGAUGGUUCAGGUUUGCCUGUUUCUCACAUUGGCUCCUUACAUCUUCAUUCCCCCACACGUACCUUCCAUUUAAAUGACACCCUUUGUGUUCCUAAUCUACAAAAAAAAUCUCAUAUCUGCUCAUCAAUUUACUCGUCAAAAUCAUGUCUUUAUUGAGCUUCACCCCUCUUUCUUUUUUGUUAAGGACAAGAUCACGGGAGCGGCUCUAUUCCGAGGAGCGUGUGAGAAUGGUGUUUACAUCCUUCCGAAGUCAAUGGUGCAGCCUUCUCAUCCUAUUGUUGCUAAUGUGCAUGAAAGGGUCUCCAUGGACGGAUGGCACAAACGCCUUGGGCAUCCCUCUCCUAAAUUGGUCACUCACCUUAUCAAAUCAUUUUCCCUUCCAACAAUAAAUAAAAAAAAUAUUUCUCUUUGUUCCUCAUGUUCUAUUAAUAAAGCUCAUCGUCAACCAUUUCGUCAAAACAGUCUCUUGAGUCAUGCCCCUCUUGACUUACUUUAUACUGAUGUGUGGGGUCCCUCAAGUACAAUUGGCAUUACUGGGGCUCGUUACUAUCUCAUUUUUGUUGAUCAUUUCACAAAAUACAUUUGGUUUUAUCCUAUGGAGACUAAAUCCAGUGUCCGCAUCAUAUUUCCUCAAUUCAAAAAUCUUGUUGAAAAUCGGUUUCAGUUAAAAAUUAAAUCUGUCUAUUCUGAUAAUGGUGGUGAAUUUGUUGCCUUAAAACAAUAUUUUACAACAAAUGGAAUCAGUCAUUACACCACAGCUCCUCAUACACCGCAACAAAAUGGUGUUUCUGAGCGUCGUCAUCGUCACUUGGUUGAAACCGGUCUCACAUUACUACAUGAUGCAUCCCUUCCCCUUCAGUAUUGGCCCUAUGCUUUUUCCACUGCUGCAUAUCUUAUUAACCGUCAACCCACACCUCUCCUCCACCAUAAAUCUCCGUUUGAAACUUUGUUUACACAGCCUCCAAAUUAUAAAAAGCUAAAAAAAUUCGGUUGUCUUUGUUUUCCUCUUGUUCGGCCAUAUAACACAAACAAGUUACAACCAAAAUCAAUUCCAUGUAUUUUCGUAGGCUACUCCUUAACCCAAAAUGCAUACAGCUGCCUUGAUCCCAUAACCAACCGUCUCUACCAAUCACGCCAUGUCAUCUUUCAUGAAAAUGAAAAUGGUUUCUCCUCCAACCAUCCUUCCACACCCAGCCCGACAAGCGACUCCUCUGUUCAUGGUCCUCUUUCAUCUCCUCCUGCACCUCCACCAGUGACUUCGGCAAGGAUACCCACUCUCACUGCUUCCUCAGGUAAUGACUCCCCCACUGUAUCUUUUAAUUCACGUGCACUCAUACCUUUAUCUUCUUCUGCUUCUCCUAGUUUUCAGCUUGCCUCAUCUCCACUGCCAAAUCCCAGUCAUCCACCCUCAUCAGUUAUUUGUGCACCUUCUCCAAGCUCACCUCCCUCAUCACCCAAUCCUGCACCCACCCGGCCUCACUCCAUGGUCACCCGUUCCAUGAAUAACAUUUAUAAACCCAAACAACUUAACAUCACCACAAAACACCCCAUCCCAAAAACUGUAGAACCAACCUGUGUGGGACAGGCUCUUCGUGAGCCACACUGGAGAUCAGCAAUGUCUGAGGAACUCACAGCCCUCAUGAGGCAUGGCACAUGGGAGUUGGUACCGCCUCCUCCGGACUGCCAACCAGUUGGGUGCAAAUGGGUUUUUCGGAUCAAACGACAUCCUAAUGGCUCCAUUGCUCGGUUCAAAGCCCGUUUGGUUGCAAAGGGAUAUCAUCAGCGGCCUGGUCUAGACUACAAUGAAACGUUCAGUCCAGUUGUGAAACCUGCCACCAUCAGAACAGUUCUCACCGUGGCUGUCACACAGGGGUGGCCAUUACGGCAGCUAGAUGUAAACAAUGCCUUUUUGCAUGGGAACCUGCAGGAAACAGUCUACAUGUUACAGCCACCGGGGUUCCAUGAUACCUCCACUCCCCAUCAUGUCUGUCGGUUAAACAAGGCUAUUUAUGGCCUCAAACAGGCCCCUCGUGCCUGGUAUUCUGCUCUGCAACAAGCCAUUCUGAAACUGGGAUUCACCAGCUCCAAAGCCGAUCCUUCUCUAUUUAUCUUUCACAGUGCAGAUGUUUUGUGUUACUUGCUGGUCUACGUGGAUGAUCUCGUUCUCACUGGAAACACUCCAUCCUUCCUGACUCAUGUGAUUGAUCAACUUAGCAUCCAAUUCUCAUUGAAAGAUAUGGGUGCACUUCAUCAUUUUCUGGGGCUAGAUGUUAUACCCACCAAAAACGGGUUGUUCUUAUCUCAACAUCAAUACAUACGGAUCUUCUCUUCAAAACUAAUAUGCAGGGUGCUAAGGAUGUCUCUUCUCCUAUGUCCACUUCGGUCCAGCUCAAGCUUAUUGAUGGCACAGCUCCCUGUGACAGCACUGCAUUUCGAAGCAUCAUCGGUGGAUUACAAUAUUUGUCUCUUACUCGUCCUGAUGUUUCCUUCACUGUUAAUAAGCUGUCACAAUUCAUGCAUCAACCUACGGUCACUCACUGGUCAGCUGCCAAACGCCUGCUCCGCUAUUUGAAGAAAACCAUCUUCCUUGGCAUUCACAUAAAUCGUCAGUCUUCAUUUGAUAUCACCACUUUUGCUGAUGCUGAUUGGGCUGGGAAUUAUGAUGAUCGCACCUCCACCUCAGCUUACAUUACAUUCCUUGGGCUCAAUCCCAUCUCGUGGAGCUCAAAGAAACAACGUGCAGUCGCCAGGUCCUCCACAGAAGCUGAGUAUCGUUCCCUUGCCACUGCUACGUCUGAAACAGUUUGGCUGUUGUCCCUGUUCAAAGAACUGUGUCUCCCAAUUUCAUCUCCGCCAAGGCUGUUGUGUGACAACCUGGGAGCUACACACCUUAGCUUCAAUCCAGUUCAGCAUUCCCGGAUGAAACACAUUCAGAUAGACCUCCACUUUGUCCGUGAUAUGGUUCACAAGAAGAUCCUCAAUGUUCAGCAUGUCAAUACUCAUGACCAAUUGGCAGACUUUCUAACGAAGCCUCUGUCUUCCCAGCGUCUGCAUUCCUUACUGCUCAAGAUUGGCUUAGCUGAUGGCUCAUCCAUCUUGCGGGAGCGUAUAAAGGAAAUCCCCUCAGAUUCAGCCAAUAUUCAAAUUUCCCAGAUUCAGCCAAUAUUCACUUGCCUCUUGCCCAUGAUCCUGCAACCAUCAUUCAAGCAUAAUAUCAAGCUUGUAACGGCAGACAAAUCUUCAACGUAAAUGCAGUAUAAAUGUCAAGACGUAAUCUUAGCUUACUUUCUAAAUUCAAACCUGCAAAGCUGUGUAUAUAUAUGUUAACAAUUGUAUUACUCAAGGUGUGGCGAAAUAUACAAUUCUGAAGUUUAUCAAAUAGCUCAACUCUCUGAAAUUUCUUAUCUUCAUCAGGGUGAUCAUUUUAAAGAUUUUUUAGUAUAAUUUCUCAAAGUAUAAUGGGGAAAUGAAAACACGAUCAAAGCACAAGAAUAUUUUUUUUUUUUGUAAUUAUCCAUGAACUCAUGAAUAGUUGUAAAGUUUUUGAAGUGAGAUAAUGUUUGGUGAUUUAACUAGUUAGUUGGCCUGCAUUUUAUCGCGUGAUGAAGAAAUUUCUUGCUUUGCAAUGAAAAAUAAAAAGAAUUAUCUUGCAAUAUCGAUAAUAAACACAACAAAUUAAAACAAAAUAAAACUAAGUUUGUUUACAUGUUGGUCGUUAAUUUAAGAUUAAAAUUUAUGGUUAAUUAAAAUUUUUUUUUACUAUAUUUCAUAUGUCACAAAUAUUUGUGUUAUAAAUAUUGUUAUUUUUAUUAUAAUUAAAAAUACUAAUAUAAAAAUAUUGUUGUUUGUGCUAUAAAUAUGAUUAUUUUUAUUAUAAUUAAUUUGAUUAAUAAAAUAAUUAAUAAAUUUGAAAAACAAAUUAUUAUCAAUAUUGAAAAACAACCAUAGAUUUGAUUUGAAAUGUAAAAUUGAAAAUUGUUAUUGUUAUCAUUAAUAAAUUUGAAAAAAAAAUACUAUUAUUACUAUUGAAGAAAAUCCAUAAUUUUUCAAAAAAAUUAAAAAAUAUAAGAAUUUAGACGGACAAGUUAAAUAUUAUUAUUUAUAUUAUAAAUAUUAUCGUUGGGUUUGACAUUACAGUUAGACUCGACUCCUUCAAUUCUUGUGUUGCAACCAGACCAAAGCUUUUGAGUCAUAUAUUUUUUUUAUAUUUUUUAUGAAAAUAAAACGUUGGCCGCAACCUAACUAAUAAUUACUAAAUGAGGACUCCAAAUAAAUUAAUUCAUUUGAUUGCUAUGUGAGAUUUUUUAUAAAAUACUUCAAGGAAAACAAACAUAUUAAAAUCAUAAAAACAUUUUACUAUAAAAUAUUAUACAGAAUAAACGUAACUUACUCUAAAUUUCCUCAAACAAUCUUGCAUUGCAAGAUUAAAUGGGCAGUAACAACGCCAGGAAUGCUUUCUUGUGGAUUUAAACACAUUUUUCUAUUCCUCUUAAUUAUGGGAGGGGGGAGCUAUCUUCUGCUGUGUAGGAAGAUCUGAUGAAACAAAGGAACAAUUGUUUUCAUUUUACCAAAAACAUAUUUAGUGGAGUCGUACUAUUGAUUAAAAAUCAUCUACCAGAAGUGGAGUAUCCUCAAUACAAGUUGUUGCAACUCUGAAGAACAUAUUGCUAGUAUUUGUUGAGACUUGAGAAUAGCAUUACCCAUCUAGAAACCUGGCCAAAAUAUAGGUUUCAGUUUUCCAGCCAUAAUCCCGACAAAUGAGAUAAGGUGGGAAACAACUUUACAGGCAUUAACAUUAGAAUAAAAAUCAUCAGGAAGCUCCUAAAUGCUGCGUAAACAUAUAGCAAUUUUAUAAAGAAAAGGAAUACAUGACAUGAAAAUAAAAUACAAAUACUUUGCAGGUGAAUUCCUUAUUAUGAACCACAAAACGCAGCUCAUACAGCGGUAAAAAAAGAAGUAGGACUUGGAGGGAUUGGGAUUUCGACGGUCCCAUCCAACAUGAGGAGGACCAUUUUCAUUGAAGGGCGGAGGGAUGGCUCAUCAAGAGUGCACCAAAGUCCCACUUUAACCAUCCUAUCUAACUGUUUCUUUUCGACGACUUCUUCACCCACAAGUUUGUCCAUAUCACCGUCCUGAAAACAUUGAUAAACCCACUGUUCGAGAACAGCUUCAUCCUCUGGAAGACUCCAAUCCACAUUCUUUCGACAACACGUGAUCUCCAACAACAUAACUCCAAAGCUAUAAACAUCUGCUUUAACUGUCACCGGCAUAUUCCGGUGCCAUUCUGGUGCUACAUAUCCCCUUGUCCCUCUGAUUCCCGUGAAGGUUUUAGUUUGGUCUGACUUCAGAAACUUUGCCAAUCCAAAGUCAGAAACUUUGGGGCACCUGCUUUCAUCUAUUAGUAUAUUCUGAGGUUUUAUAUCACAGUGGAUGAUCUGAGUGUCGCACUCUUCAUGUAGAUAAACAAUACCCCUUGCAAUGUUGCGAGCAAUUUCCAACCUUUCAGGGAAGCAAGGUCGUUUUUCAAGUGAGAAGAGUAUGUCAGCAAGGGAGCCAUUGCUCAUGUACUCGUAUACCAGGAGCCUGUGAUGUUCAUCAUGGCAAUAGCCGAGCAGACGGACUAGGUUUCUGUGAUGUGUUUUCCCAAUGACUUUCAUCUCAUUCUGAAAUUCUCUUUCCCCUUCAGCUAGAGCUUUCUCCAGUCUCUUGACAGCAACAACCUUCCGAGUACUUGAUAUUAUCCCUUUAUAAACUGUCCCAAAUGAUCCCCUGCCAAUUUCUUCCUUGAAACCACCAGUAACAUCUUCUAGCUCUGCAUAAGUGAAAGCUCGAGGAGCAAAUUCCUCAUUCAAUGCACUACCAUCAUUUUUGGGAACCUUUUUAUAUGCCAAUACAUGAUAUCUGUAAAUGAUGAUUCCGAAAAUCGCCACCAUAGCAAGCCCAAAAGCAACAACUGAACAACUUAUUAUUACGAUUCUCCUGCCAGUGCCAAGGUUCUUCUUCUCUUUUCUGUCCAUGGAGGAUAUGGGUCUACCCACCUUGACGACAGCCAAGUUGGAACUUUCUAAGUUUCUCCUCCCAAAUCUCAAAGGAAGCCUUUGCUUUCUGCAGUACUGCCCAUCAGUGAAUAAUGCUGCUUCACAGUUACAGUCUUCCAAACAGGCUUGCUUACAAUUGUCUUUCAUUGUUAAAGACAAAACGGAGUAUGAAACAUCUUCCCAGAAUAUUAGACAGCUCUUCCAUGGUGUAUGUGCUACUUCCAUUCUUGUUUGCAACUUUCAGCAUGAAAUCCCUCUCACAGCCAGAAGUCCAAUUUCCCUGGGUAACAAACUUAAAUCCAGGAAGACAAAUACAUUCAGCUUCCUGAUCCUUCAACACAAUAUCCAUUAAGACCGCAUGAUCCUUUCGGGUGGCACUUUGCUUGUGGAUGACCACACAGCUGACCAGUUUCCAUUCCGUGUCAGAUUUUGUGAAUAUAAUCUGAAAAUCCCAUCAGCAUCAAGUUUCAUAUUAAUUGUUUCUUUCGUGGGAUAUCCUCCAGCUGUAAUGUUUUUAUGUUGAAACCUGUGGAAUUGAGCAGGUAGAGACGGCCAUCCGGAUCAAGAUUUAGGGUCACAUUAUCUCCCGCCCCAUUAGUAUCAGAUGCAAAAUAAGCAUAUGGAGCUGUAUCUGGAGUACUAACAGGAUACUGCACAAGGUGUCCAUCAUGUUGCAUCUUGAGUCGGUAAAUACCAGUUGAGAGGUCAGUUUCUGAAACAGGAGAAACCAGCUCUGCCCCUGCUCUGAGCUGUUGAGUUGGCAAAAGGGUAUCUGUUGGGUGGUCAAAACUCUGCCAUAUAAUCUCGUGAUCAGAAUUAUAUAGCACAAAGUUGCCUGAAUCAGACAUAGAAGCUAAAGAAGCUGGCUGGGAAGCAGAAACUAUCGGAGUCUCAUCCCCUUGUGCUGAUCUCAAGACAACCCUGCCAUCACUGGUGAAGAGCAAGGUCGCAUUACUGGGGACUGGGGCGUCAUCCCUUCUAGCAAAGAAAGAGAAGAUGCUUUACAAGAGGCACAGAAGCAAGUCCUUAAAGUCAACAGAAAGAAGGACAACAAAGCAAAGACCAUCAUCUAUCAAGGUCUUGAUGAAGAUACAUUCGAGAUAAUAGCUUCCGCUGAAACGUCACAUGAUAUAUGGGAGGCUCUCCAACAAAAAUACAAAGGUGCUGACAGAAUCAAGAAGAUUCGUCUUCAAUCUUUGAAAGGAGAAUUUGAAUUAUUACGAAUGAAGUCCUCAGAAUCUAUUUCUGAUUAUCAUACAAGGAUUAUGGUGAUAGUCAAUCAGAUGAGGAGAAAUGGAGAAGCCAUCAUAGAUACUCGAAUUAUUGAGAAAAUUUUGAGAUCCAUAGAUCCAAAAUUUGAUCAUGUUGUUGUCGCAAUUGAAGAGUCCAAGGAAGUGGACAAGUUGACAGUGGAUGAGCUUAUGAGUUCUUUGCAAGCUCAUGAGCAGAAGAUUGUAAUGCGAAAUGAAGAUAAGGCCAUUGAGCAUGCCUUACAAGCAAAGCUGUCUUUCAAGGACAGAUAUGAGCAAGGGGAGACUUCAACAAGUGGCUACACCACUCAAGGAGGAAGUCAACAAUCCAGAGGAGGAUUCCAGAGAUUCCAAGGAAGAGGUUCUUGGAAUACAAGCUUCAGAGGAAGAGGUGGUAGAAACACCACCAGAGGAGGCCAAGGCCAACAAGCAUUCACUCCCAGAGGAAGAGGAGGCGGUUACAAUAACCGUGACAAGAGGAAUAUCCAAUGUUAUAGUUGCAAUCAAUUUGGGCACUAUAGCACUGAAUGCCGAUGGAAAGCUCCGUUGGAGAUACGUGAGCAAGCCAACUAUGUAGAGAAGCAUGAUGGAGAAGCAUCUGCAUUUCUUGUCCAACAAGGACAUGGCGAGAAAAAGAGGAGAUAUGGUAUCUAGAUACUGGAGCCAGCAAUCACAUGUGCGGCUACCGAGAGUUAUUUGGUGAUCUAGAUGAGACCAAGCAAGGUCUAGUUACUUUUGGAGAUACCACAAAGGUUCCAUUCAAAGGUAAAGGCAACAUCCCAGUCAAGUUGAAGAAUGGCGAUUCCAGCUACAUCGCCGAUGUGUAUUAUGUCCCAGCCAUAAAGCAGAACCUGAUCAGCUUAGGUCAACUUUUGGAGAGAGGAUAUAUUUUUACUCGAAGAAUUGUCAUCUGCAAUUAGAGACAACAAUGGGAGAUUAAUGGCCUACGUGAAAAUGUCCAAGAAUAGGAUGUUUCCUUUGAACAUCCAGUAUGAUGCAACAAGGUGUUUGAGUGCCAUCACCAACAGUGAAGAAUGGCUUUGGCACCUGAGGCUUGGACAUCUGAAUUUCACAAGUUGAAGAUGCUAGCAAGCAAGAAGAUGGUCAAAGGUUUGCCUCACAUUGAUCAUCCAGAUGAAGUCUGUGAGAGUUGUGUCCUCAGCAAACAUCACAGAUCCAGUUUUGCCAAAGAAGUCAACUGGAGAGCAAAGAGGCCACUGGAGUUAGUACACACAGAUGUGUGUGGCCCAAUUACGCCUAUGUCGACUGGACAAAAUAGGUACUUCCUCACUUUUACUGAUGAUUUUAGUAGAAAGACGUGGAUAUACUUUCUGAAGAGGAAGUCAGAAGUAUUCAAUUGUUUUAAAGAUUUUAAAGCAAUUGUGGAGAAGCAAACUGGUUACACGAUCAGAACCGUAAGAUCUGAUCAAGGUGGAGAAUAUACAGCAAAUGACUUUGAAGCCUAUUGUACACAACAAGGCAUCAGACAUCAGACGACGCCAGCUUAUACACCACAGCUGAACGGUGUAGCAGAAAGGAAGAAUCGCACGAUUCUUGACAUGGCAGAAGUUGCUCAAAGCAAAGAAGCUGCCCAAGCAAUACUGGGCUGAAGCUGUAUCAUGUGCAGUGUAUCUGUUGAAUCGCUGCCCAACCAGAAGUUUGCAAGGAGUCACUCCAGAAGAAGCAUGGAGUGGUCACAAACCAAGUGUUACUCAUCUACGAGUCUUUGGUUGUGUGGCAUAUGCAAAGAUCCCAGAUGCAAGAAGGAGAAAGCUCGAUGAUAAGAGCGAGAAAUGCAUCUUUGUCGGAUAUGGUGAAAGAAGGAUGGGAUACAGACUGUAUAAUCCCAUCACGAAGAAGGUGAUUACGAGUAGAGAUGUUAUCUUUGAAGAAGAUAAAUCUUGGGCAUGGAAUGUGAUCAAGAAGCAGUCAAAUGGAUCAAUCUUGAUUUGAUCCUUGAAGGUGAAGAAGUACCAACAGUACUUGUAGAAGAACCGAUUGUGCCAGCAGCUGAACCACAAAGUCCAGUGUUUAUACCAGUAGCUGAACCACAAAGUCCGGUACACAGAUUCCCUGUAUUCAACAGGAGGAACACACCAGGAGCAUCAUCAUCAACACCACCAUCAGCAUCCUCGUCAGAAGGACCAAGAAAGAUGCGGAAUCUUGAAGAGUUGUACGAUACCACUCAGGUCAUGGAAGAUACAACUUUGUUUUGUUUCCAUGCAGAUAAGGACCCACCAGAAAAGAAGAAAGCAAAAGGUGUCAAAAGGGUCUACAAGACGAAAGCCAAAUUAGUGGAUAAAGGCUACAAGAGAGAAGGCAUUGAAAGAAGAAGUGUCCAUGCUUGGCAUGACAUCCCUCGAUUGAGUUUAAAGGGGAGAUUUGUUGAAUUAAACUCAACAUCUAGAUGGUCAAGGAAGGAAACCACCAGCUGCCACCGACCAGCCGUCAGCCACCAGCCGCCUUCACACCGCCGGUCAACAGCCGCCUUCACACCUGGAACAGUAGAUUUUUGUAUUCUGAAUUUAUGUAUAAAUAGGGUGCUCAGUUAUGUUAAAUUGUGUGGAGAGAAUUGAGAGAAACACUUGAAAGAGAAAGAGAGAGAGAGAGGGCGUGUAUUAAGCUUUUGUUUUGUGUUAAUUGUAAGCUUCGGUUUUGUGUAAUAAAACAGUGUGUUUUAUCCCCUCUGAGUGUCUCAAAGCCACCACCAGUGGUUUCUCCCACCAACAGCCCACACAACAGUCUUUAGUGAAAUCCCGGAUAGAAAAACCCCUAUAGAAUAGCCGUCGCGUUGUCGGAAAAAUCCGAAAGCAUAAAGACCAGAAGGUGACAACCAUAAGGAGUUUGUGAAAGGUGUUAGAGAAGAUCCGAGGGUUAUAUUGGUCUGUCUUUGAGCUGAAGCUGUAAAAGAUAAGGCGAGAAGAAGAAAAAAGAUGAUAGAAGCCAUGGAUAGGGAUUUAGCUCUUGUCUGGUAUGGGAGUGUCAAUAUAAGGAUGUCUAAUGUUCCAGCACUCCAGUCUCUUUCUUUGGGUUCCAGCAGUCAAGCCAGGCACUCAGAACAUGAAAGUCUAGCCAUAAAAUCCACGCUUGCUUGUAUGCUUUCAAAGUCAAUGCAGUUGCGACGCCCCAUUUGAACAGCCAUUUGCUAAUUUCCCCUGGACUGUUCUUGGUUCUAAUUUUCUGCAGCAGAUUCUUUUUUAUUUGUCAAGUACCAUCAAUAUGCUUUUGAUAACAUAUUGAUGGUAUGGUUUUUUCUAUGGUUUUUUCAAUGGACCGUUGAUUCUAUGGUUUUUUUCCACACGUAUUUUGCAGGAACAGAAAUUGGACGUAUGAGUAAAGUAAUGUAUCUCUUGUCCUUGGCUGUAGCCAGUCUUUCUUUGAGCGUGUUUGGAAUUAAGAUAGUAAUAAUGGUUUAAAAUGUUUUUUAUUUAAAAAUAUAUUAAAAUAAAAAUUUGUUAUUUUAAAAAAAAUUAUUUUUAAUUUUAAUAUAUUAAAAUAAUUUAAAAAUAUAAACAAAAUUUAAAAUUUAAAAUAACAGAAAUGUGUUCGAUUGACGGAUUGAGGGUGCCCCUGUAUGACUUUAUUCAGAGUAUAAUUAAGGUGGUCACAACAGGGACUGUUCUCAGCAAAAAUGUCUUCUCUGACUAGCUUCAAAGCCAUGGGUGCGCUUUGAGGGGCUUUAUAAUUUAUUUAUUAAAAAUGUAUUAUGAAAAAGUAAAUAUGUAAAUCUUCAUGGGAGAUCUCUAAUAGAUGAAUUCUACAUUUUUUUUUGCCCGUAAGUUUUUUCUAACUUUAAAAAAUAUAAAGUCCAUGCAGUUAUAACUUAAAUCAACCUGGAUUAAUUUAACUAAUAUACAAAGCUCAAGGUGCAAUUAUUUAAUAUUAAAAAUUAAAAUUAUAUAAAUAAAAAAUAUUAAAUAAAAAAAUUUAAGUCAACUCAUCACCCGCAAUACAAGACUAGAACUAAAAAAUAAUUAAAAAAAAACUUAAAAAAACUCAUGAGCACUGUAUAUUGAAAUUGAAAAUGCUGUUGAAAGUUAUAUUUAUUGAAAUUAAAGGUUUUUUCAUAUUUUCAUAAAGGUUUACAUCAUUGUUUUACUUUUUUUAAAAAAAUUAUUAUUUGACAUUGUUUUUUUUUUAAAAAGGCUUUGUAGUUUUUAAUUUUUAUUUCAAUUGUAGUGUCUCGAUCUUAUAAUUUAAAUUAUAAAUUUACUGGGUUAAUUCAAGUUGACUCGAUCCUUUUUCUAGAUUCACUUUUCUAUGAAAGGAAUUUUACUCUCUUUUUUAACAUUAUUUUUUUAAAAAAAUAAAAUUAGUUCAUCCCUGUGGCGCAGAGCAGGUGCACAUCUAGUCUCUCUGCUAAAUGUUUUGCAAUCUGAUUUGCUUCUCUAAAUACAUGACUGAAACUGACUAAUAUAUAAUUAAACAAACUCUAGAGAAUCCCAUACAUACCUAAUCGUUUGAACGCGAAAUUGAUGCAUUUGGAUGUAAAGUGAAAACCGUAAAUUAGGACUCCUAAAUUUCUAGUUUUUAGGGUUCAGAUUUCUAUCAGUCAUGAAGAGAGAGAUUUUGAUUUUUUUUUGAGAGAUAAAGGAGGACAAGAGAAAGUAUUGAAUGUGAGUGUUACCAGUCAUUUCUUAUAUAUUAUAUAUAUGAGGGUAAUUUUUUUUUUUGAUUAUUUUAAAGAUUUUUUAUUAUAAUUUCUCAAAGUAUUUUUUAUAAUGGGGAAAUGAAAACACGAUCAAAGCACAAGAAUGAUAAAUAUCCGUUCUCAUCUUGCGGGGGGAUAUUGGAACCUAGCGCAUACUCACACAAAACAUAAAGAAGCUAAGGAUGCAGACAAUUCUUCAUUGCUUGCGGAGCAAGUAACCCCUGCAGCCGACUCCCCUACACCAAAAGACUAACGAAGACUAGCCAAGUUAUCAUAACACAUUGUAAAUUGUGGAUAUAAUAAAGUUAGUUAUAUACUGUUAAAGUUAGUUAGAAUAUGUGUAUAUAUAUGUAUUCAUGUAUACUGCAAAAGAGACAAAUAAUAAGAGAAGAAAUACUGCAUAUUGAUUGCAGACUUUCCAAACGUAUCUUCCUUCUUCUUCUCUCAUAAGAAAUUUUAUUCUCUUCUUCUUUCUCUACUUCUACAGGAAAGAAUAAAUUCUGCUAUAACAAAAUUAUUAUGGUAUCAGAGCAAGAUUUCUUCUAAAUCUCUGAAAAUAUAUACUCUUCUUUAUUUUUUUUCAGAAAGAUUCAAGAUCUUUGUAGUUGGAUAUUUUUCUGUCAUCAACUUCUUGAUUCCUUCAAAACUUCAAAAUGUCUGAUCAUCUUGAAGAAAGUGCUUCUACAGCACAUAAAGAUUCAUCCAAUAUCACUACUCUGAAUCUUUCUGAUGAUUCUUCCAGCUGCUACUACCUCCAUCCUUCUGAUAAUCCUGGCGCACUUCUAGUUUCUGAAAUCUUCACUGGCGAAAAUUAUAUUGCAUGGAGCAGAUCCAUGACAAUUGCCUUAACAGUGAAAAACAAGAUUGCCUUCAUUGAUGGAUCUUUAGUUCAACCAAACACCACCAAUCAAUCACUUUGUGUGGCAUGGCUGAGAUCAAACAAUCUGGUUCUAUAAUGGCCGAUGAAUUCAAUUGCCAAAGAAAUUAGCAACAACCUUCUUUACUUCACAACAACAUUCGAUAUCUGGGAAGAAUUACGAAUGAGAUAUCUUAGAAGUGAUGGACCAAGGGUUUUUAGUUUAGAAAAAUCUUUGAGUUCUAUUUCCUAGAAUUCAAAAUCUAUCACUGAAUAUUUCAGUGAAUUCAAGGCACUAUGGGAUGAAUACAUCAGUUAUCGCCCAAUCCCAAGCUGCAAAUGUGGAAAUCUUGAUUCCUGCUCAUGCAACAUUUUUAAACAUCUAACAGAUCGACAACAAUCCGACUUUGUUAUGAAAUUUUUGGUUGGCCUUCAUGAUUCUUACUUAGCAGUUAGAAGCCAACUAUUGCUCCAAACUCCUUUGCUAUCUAUGGGCAGAGUCUUUUCCCUACUUCUUCAAAAAUAGAGUCAGAGAUCCCUAACAAAUGCAGCAGGCAUUCCAAUUGAUUGCCAAGCAAUGAUUGCUGAACACUACCACAAUCAAAAUUCCAAAUCAGGUUCAACAUAUACUACACGCUUUGCUAAACAAAAAGGAAAAACUGAGGCAACCUGCUCCCACUGUGGAUAUCCUGGACAUACUAUUGAUAAAUGUUUCUAACUUAUUGGAUACCCUCUUGGGUGGAAAGGAUCAAGAGGAAAAAGAUUUGCUACUAUGCCACAGACCAGCAAAAACUUUCAACGAUUACCCACUGCACAUCAUACUACUAUCUUGCAACCACAUCUUGACACCCCUAACAUUGUUUUCUCUCAAGAACAGAUGCAAAAUCUACUCACUCUAGCAAAUAGCAUUUCCAGCUCAAAGAUAAAUAACACUACUAAAGAAGUAUCUACAUCAGGUAUAUCUUUUUCAUGUCAUACAUCAUCUUCACCUCAAAAUAGAUUUUCAUGGAUUCUUGAUACUGGAGCCACAUAUCACAUGAUUUGUAGUCCUCUUCUUUUUUAAUCCAUCAUUCUCCCUAAAACUCAGUCUAAAACUCAGUCUAAAGUUCAUCUGCCAAAUGGUCAACAUGUACCAAUUCUCUUCACUGGAACGGUUAAAUUUUCUCCUGACAUCAUUUUAUACAAUGCACUUUAUGUUCCAGCUUUUAAUAUCAAUCUAAUUUCUGUUUCUAAAUUAACUGCCGCUAACACUGUUGGCUUAUUUUUUCUUCACACAAAAUGUAUUCUGCAGGAUCUAAGCAAAUGGAAGAUGAUUGGUCUUGCUGAAGCUGAAUCUGGUCUCUACAAUCUUCACAAACCCCCUGAUCAAAAUACUAAAGAAUCACCUCCUAGAUCAAACAUCAAAUCCUGUGUUGUUGCGACAAAUCUCUAGCAUUUACGUUUAGGCCACAUCCCUCCCUCCAAAAUCACCCUUUUGAACAAAACUGAUCCUUCAGUCACUAUCAGCAACAAUACCAUUUGUGAUAUUUGCCCCCUAGCUAAACAAAAACGGUUGCCCUUUUCUUUAUCUAUUCAUAAAUCUACAACAGCUUUUCAAUUAGUUCACAUUGACAUUUGGGGACCAUUCUCUGUUACCUUUUAUUCUGGUUAUCAAUUUUUUCUUACUAUUGUAGAUGAUUACAGUAGAUUUACUUGGUUAUUUUUAAUGAAAUCUAAAUCUGAAACAAGACAUCUUCUCAGCAAUUUUCUAGCCUAUGUUCAUACUCAAUUUAACACCAACAUUCAAACUCUCAGAUCCGACAAUGGCCAAGAAUUUAAUAUGCCUACUUUCUACCAAACGCAUGGCAUCAUACAUCAAUUAACAUGUGUUGAAACACCUUAACAGAAUGGAAGGGUUGAAAGAAAACAUCAACACCUGCUCAAUUUAGCUCGAUCUCUUCUGUUUCAAUCCCAACUACCUUUAUCUUAUUGGACAAAUUGCAUACUCACAGCCACACACCUCAUUAAUCGUACCCCCUCCCUCAUUCUCCAAAAUCAGACACCUUACCAAGUUCUUUAUCACAAACCACCAUAUUACAAUUACUUAAGAGUAUUCGGCUGUUUAUGUUUUGCUAGCACAAUCACACAUAAUAGAGGUAAAUUUCAUCCCAGAGCCACGAAAUGUAUUUUUCUUGGAUACCCUCCACACAUUAAAGGAUACAAAGUUCUUGACUUAACCAUUUGCAAAACCUUUGUAUCUCGAAAUGUUGUUUUUCAUGAAUCCACCUUUCCAUCUAUUCCAAACAAAGUUCAUACACCCCUUGUGUUCCCUGACUAUCCUCAAAAUUUUGACCCUUUUCCUUGUCUCCCAUCAAACACAACUCUACAUGAUUCUGUUGUUCCUGCAAAACUUCCUAUACAACCUCCUGUUCCUCACAUUUCUCCCCUACCUCCUCCUCCUCUUCCCCAACUUAGAAAAUCUGAAAGAAAUAAACAUCCACCUACUUACUUAACACAGUAUUAUUGUGGACAUAUGGCUCAGAUUGCUUCAGCAACUCCAGACUCUCCACCUUGCUCCCUGCCUGGUAAGCCCUACUCUAUCUUUUCUUUCUUGUCUACCUCCCAAUUAUCUUUACCCCACUGUGCUUUCACUUCUUCUGUUUCAUCUGUUUAUGAACCGAAAACUUACAAACAAGCUAGCUCUAUCCCUCAUUGGCAACAUGCUAUGACCAAUGAAAUCAAAGCUCUUGAGAAAAACAAAACUUGGGACUUAGUCAUUCUGCCACCAAAUAAAACUGUCAUUGGAUGUAAAUGGGUCUACAAAGUUAAAUUUCAGGCUGAUGGACAGGUUGAAAGAUAUAAAGCACGAUUGGUAGCAAAAGAAUACACACAACAAGAGGGAAUUGAUUUUUUUGACACUUUCUCUCCUGUUGCAAAAAUCACAACAGUACGAGUUCUUCUCACCAUUGUUGCAGCCAACAAUUGGCAUUUACAUCAACUUGAUGUAGACAAUGCCUUCCUACAUGGUGACUUAUAUGAGGAAGUAUAUAUGCAAUUACCACCUGGCUACUCCAAUCACAAUGACCCUCGAAUCUGCAAGCUCAAAAAGAGCAUCUAUGGUCUUAAACAGGCUUCUAGACAAUGGUUUUCCAAACUCUCUGCAUCUCUACUUCACUUUGGUUUUCUACAAGCCAAAUCAGAUUCUAGCCAUUUCAUCAAGCAAUCUCACACAGCCCUCAUUGACAUUUUAAUCUAUGUUGAUGAUGUUCUCAUCGCCUCCAAUGAUCUUACAGCACUGACUAUAGUAAAAAACUACCUUCGCACAAUUUUCCCUAUCAAAGAUUUGGGAAACCUUAAAUACUUUCUCGGUAUUGAGGCAGCUCGAUCUACCAAAGGCAUUGUUCUUUUCCAAAGAAAAUAUGCCUUGGACAUACUUACAGACAGUGGUUUUUCUGGCGCUAAACUUGUCAAUUUUCCAAUGGAAUCCACACUCAAACUCAGCACACAUGAUACUAGCCCUCCCUUGACUAAUCCUGCAUCUUAUCGUAGACUUAUUAGCAAGCUUCUCUAUCUUACACUCACAAGACCAGACUUAUCCUAUGCCAUCCAAACUCUCAGCCAAUUCAUGUCAAACCCUCACACCCUAUAUAUGCAAGCAGCAGAGAGAGUUCUUCGGUAUCUCAAAGCCACACCAGGAAAAGGCUUACUUCUCAAAGCUGCUUCUCCUCUUCAUUUAAAAGCUUAUUCUAACAGUGAUUGGGGAGGUUGCAUUGACACUCGUCGACGUGUUACUGGCUACCUAGUCUUUCUUGGAGAUUCAUUAAUAUCCUGGAAAUCAAAGAAACAACCUACUGUAAGUAGGUCCUCUGCAGAAGCUGAAUAUCGGGCAUUGGCAACUACUUCAUGUGAACUACAAUGGCUUACUUAUUUACUAGCCGAUUUCCACAUCCCUCACUCUCAACCUGCCUUACUCUACACUAACAGCAAACCAGCCUCCGAAAUAGCUUACAACCCUGUUCAUCAUGAACGCACCAAACAUAUCCAACUUGACUGUCAUCUUGUACGUGAAAAAAUGCAAGAAGGACUCCUUACCAUCAUUCACAUUCCUUCCAAAUUUCAAUUAGUUGAUGCCCUCACUAAACCACUUGGUUAUCACAUGCUUAAUCCUCUCCUUGACAAGAUGGGAAUGAUAAAUAUCCAUUCUCAUCUUGCGGGGGGAUAUUGGAACCUAGCGCAUACUCACACAAAACAUAAAGAAGCUAAGGAUGCAAACAAUUCUUCACUGCUUGCGGAGCAAGCAACCCCUGCAGCCUACUCCCCUACACCAGAAGACUAACGAAGACUAGCCAAGUUAUCAUAACACAUUGUAAAUUGUGGAUAUAAUAAAGUUAGUUAUAUACUGUUAAACUUAGUUAAACGUUUGUUAACGUUUUAUUAACAGAAGCUAGUUAGAAUAUGUGUGUAUAUAUGUAUUCAUGUAUACUGCAAAAGAGACAAAUAAUAAGAGAAGAAAUACUGCAUAUUGAUUGCAGACUUUCCAAACGUAUCUUCCUUCUUCUUCUCUCAUAAGAAAUUUUAUUCUCUUCUUCUUUCUCUGCUUCUAUAGGAAAGAAUAAAUUCUGCUAUAACAAAAUUAUCAUAAUUAGAGAAAAACAAUUUACUAUAUUUCAUAUGUCACAAAUAUUUUUCAUAAAAUAAAUACAACUUAACUUUGAUAAAUGAUACCUCUAGAAAUGUGGAAUCCAUUUAUAAUUGAAUUAAAAUUAUAUUGAAAUGCUUCUUAUCAGAACAGAAAAAAAAAACAUAUUGAAAUGGGCCUACCAAAUACAGCAUUAAAUAUUUUAAUUACCAUAAAAUUGACAACUAGCAAUGAAAUUAACAACAAAAAAUAUUUUCAUUGGUAAUAUCCGAUGAAAAUAGCAAUGAAACAUAUCCAUUAAAUAUUAAAAAAUUAAAUAGCAAUGGAAUAUGUGCAAUCAAUAAUUAUCAAUGAAAUUGGCAAUGAAAUAAAAAUAAUUAGAAAAAAUAAAUAAAUAUUAUGUCAGCAAUUCCAUCGAUAAUAUGACACAUCAUUAUUUACAAAAUGUUUCAUUGGUAUUCACCGAUGAAAAUAUUUCAUCAGUAGUUUUCAUUGGAAGUUUUGUCGAUAAAUUUACAAGUGUUACAACCAACAACAACCCGCCCUAUCCAUUUCUUCUUCUUAUUUAAUAUCAGAAAAUAGGUACCCUCCUUGUUAUGUCACAAAUCUAGGCCUUGUAUUUAUAAAUUUGACCACCCCAACAUUCAAUAGUGUCAGUAUUAUUAUCUCGGUUCAAUUUUUUCUAAAUACUCACUACACCAAGUAAGCAAACCUACAUAUUUAUGUUUUAGGUUAAUUUAUUGAUAUUUUUGUAAUAUUUUGUAAUUUAAUUGUAUAUUUAAGUGUUUUACAUCUGUUUUUCCUUAAGAAUUUUGUUGUAUUAAAGAAUGAUUUGUAUGUUAGGAUUUGUUUGGGAUUUGAAGAAAAUUGAAUUUGUUUUUCAUUUGAUGAAUUUAAGUUUGAUUUUGUAAUUUAUGUUUGUUAUAUCAGAAGAAAUGAUAAGUUAUUUAAUAGAUAUAAUUAUAUUUUGUCGAUUUUAUUAAGUUUGGAAAUUUUACUAGGUGUGUUAUGCAACCCAAGAUUAAAGACGCGUUGUAGUGUUUUGAUCAUAAACAUUUCAUAAUCCAACAUAAAACAACCAUCACUUGUCAUUUAGGAGUUAGAUUCAAGAACAAAUUAUUGUUGCAAAGGCUAAACUUGAGGUAGAGUAUGAAGAAUGAAGUAGAAAGCAAUGAAAGUAAAUGAUAAUAUACAUGUAGACUUAUUAUUCUCCCACUGGAAAUAUUCAUCCCCCUCCACCUCUACCUUCAUAUGCAGCUCCAACUUUAGUUAGUUAGGAGUUUAUCUAAUAUAUUAAGAUAUUUAUAAUUGAUUUUAUAAUUAAAUUAAUGAAAUAAAAUGUGUUCUUUAAUUUAAUAUAAUUAAAUAUUAAUUUGUUUAAUCUAAAUAAACAUUUAUUAAAAAAAAUAAACAACAAACAUAGAAAUUAAGUUGAUGAUUUUGUCAAUUACAUCAGUCUAUUUGUAUCUAAAAAUUACAUAAAAAUUGUUUAAUUUUUUGGCAUCAUUGAUACAAUCACUGCCAUAAUUUUUAUGUUCACGAUCCGUCAUCGAUACAUGAUCAAUUACCGACUGGUAUUCUGUCGUUUAUCGUUUAUGCCUUGGAACUGUACCUGUGUGUAGGUAUGGACAAUUGCUUUUUAGGCAAGAAACUGCGUUGUGGGAUAGGAGAAGAAGGGGCAGAAACAAGCAAAGAUCAUUCUCUCAUCCUAUUCUUCAUGAAGAGCUCUCACUCUUGAGAUUACAUCAGACCAACAAAAGUUGUUUUUACUCAUCCUAAUAAGAUCAUCACAGAGAAGAUUGGCAAGGAACUUCUAAGUACUGGUGUUGUUUUGAUUUCCUUUUCUUUGGUGGUCUUUGCAUCAUCUGACUUGAUGGUCAUGAUGACACGCCAAGCUUCUCCACCAGAUGUCACUGAAGGUAUUAAGAUCUGCACCUUUUAGCUACGAUCAACUCGCGGUGGCCACGAUGAUUCAAGGAAGAGAUCGGUAAAGGGGCAUCAGGAGGCUCUGUAGAGGCUCGUUAGCAAAGAAUGACGGGAAAGAAAUAGCAGUGGAGAGUCUAGAGAAGGUGGUGGAAGAUGGAGAAGGGGAGUUCCGAAACGGGGUGAAGAUAAUGGAGAGGACUACAAUAACUUGGUACGUUUGAUUGGCUUUUGCAGUGAAGGAUCAAAUAGGCUUCUUGUGCAUGAGUUCAAGAUCAUUCAUUGUAACAUAUUUUCUUCUCUAGAGUUUAUAAUAAAUAAAUUAUUUGUAAGAAAACGAAGUUCAGUUGCAUUGUUGAUGGUGUUCCAAAAUUUACUAUGUUUAGAAAUGAGAAUUUUAAGUGUUUAAAUGAAUGAUGAUUAUACAUUCACUUCUAUAUUUUCUUGUUCACAAUUCAUAAAAUUGAUUGUUGGUGAUAAAAGACUUGACACUUAUAAAAUAGUUUUUUUUUUGUGGGGCUUAGGGGGCAUCUGAAUGAUAAAGUUAAUGACUUUUUAUAUGAGAUUAUAAUAAAUUAAGAAAAUAAGCUUUAAAUAAAAAAAUAAAUAAAAAUGUUUGUUCUUAUUUAUGUAUGAUAAAACACCUUGAAAAUAAGAAUAUAAACACUUUAAAGAAUAGAAAAAGUGUGAACCUUUUACUUGAAUGGUUCAGAGAAAUUUAUAAUGCCUGAACUUUGUUGUUUUUUUUAAGGGGUGGAUAGUCACUUCCUUUUGAAAAUGUAAAUGAGAAAAAACAUCUUACACAACAUUAAUUUUAAUGGAAAUAACCCUUACAUUAAUAUUGAUUGGAAUACGUAGGACUUGUAAGAGAUUUUUAUAUAUUAUUUUGUAUGUAACAUUAAUGUUGAUGGGAAUUGUCUUUAAUCAACAUUAAUUUUGAUUAGAAUAUGACAGGUUUUUGAAAGAUUUUUAUACACCUAAGAAUAUGACUAUCAUAGACUCUUAAUAUUUUAUGUUAAGAAUUAUAAAAUAGCUUUAUGACUCAAUAUAGGGCUUAUAAAAACUUUUAACCCCAUAUGUAUUUGCACCUAGAUUGAUUUUAAACUCAAGGGUUUUGAGUCAAAUAUUUUGUCAGACCCAUAGGAACUUGAGCUUUAGCGUCAGACCUAUAUUCACUCAGGCUUAACGCGUAGCUGAGUCCAAUGGUAUUUGGUCUGGAAUCUCGUCAAACUCACAUGUACUUGAGCUCAACACAUAAUUAAACUCAAGGGUGUUGGGUCAAGAAGCAAGCCAGACUCACAUCAUCUAGGUUAACACCUUGCUUUUGACCUUUUUUAUGAUUGGCUUCUUAAGCAAACAAAUUGUGUAUAAAAUAUACUAAUCUAGUAGUGGCCCCGUAAGGGUAUUUCUUCCAUCUUGCUUUUGAGUUAAGGUAUUCCAUCCAUUUUCAAGGAUUUAUGAGAGACAUCUUUAGGUAUUAUAAAUUGGGUUUAAGCCAAUUGCACCCCAAAUGAUGGGUGAUUUUAGGGGCGAGUAAAAAAAUUAAAAAACCAAUUAAACCAAGAAAACAAAAAAAAUAACAAAAAAAACUGAACGGUGAAAAAAACCAAAUUAAACUGAUUAGAAUGUUUAAAAAAAUUGACCGGUUUAGUUUUGGUUUCAUAAGCCUAUAUAUAUAUAAAUUGUGUCCAGCUUGCUAUGUGUGGAGUCAGUUGCACAACUCUUGGGUCCUAUGUCAAGAAUUGUGACUUAGGGCGUUUCUUUCUUUGCCAAAAGCUUCUGGCAGCCAAACCCAUAACACUUCCAAAACAUACCAAUAACCUUGGGUCUUGCUACCCAACAUGGCCUAAUAGUGUUGUGAAAGGCAUAGCCAAACCCAAAACACUUCAAAAAAGAACUGGGUUUGGUUGACCAGCCAAACCCAACAAUCUUAGGUCUGGCUCGGCAGCUAAACCCAACACCUUUUUGAAGUGUUUUGGGUAUAGCUCCACACUAUUGGGUCCUGUAGUAGGACCCAAUGCUAUUGGCACCUUCUUGGGUCUAAUUGGGUAGCCUGACCCAAUAUCUUUAGGUCCGGCUGUACAACCAUACCCAAAAUAGUUUUGGGUUCGACUGUUUAACAGGACACAAUAGGUUUGGGGACCAAAUAACACUAGGUCCAAACCAAAUUUUCUUGAGUCCAGUGUCCGGACGGUGUUGCACCUGAUACUAAUGGGUUCUGCGUCGCGACCCAAUUCUCUAGUGUCCAUGUUAGGACCCAUGGUUCAAGUAUCCGGCUUUAGGACCCGAUUGUAUUUUGUCCGCGUCAGGAGCCAAGUGUAAUGGGUCCUACUUUUGGACCUAAUUAUAUUGGUAUCGCAUGUGUGCGGUGUCGCGGCGAACUGGUUUCACUUUAAAUCUAAAAGUAAAUCUAUCAAGCAAAUAUGGGGAGACAAGAAAUUUUUGUCGCUUAUCGGUGGAAAAUGGAAUGUGAGUCGCCACCUAGUAUUUUGAUCACUAGGAACCCUAACUGGUCUCAGAGAUCGGGUACGGGACUGAUUGCGUAAAUGGAAGGUAUUAGUACCCCAAAUACGCUUUACCCAAGGUAAGCUGCAUUGUUUGAUUGUCUGAUAAAAGCUAAGGUGUUAUUGUAUUUCUAGUUGUUGGUCUGUCUAUGGUUCAAGAAAAAUCCUCCUCAAUAAAGAGGUCCUUAUCUUAUCGGGUAAAAACUUAAAUGUUCUAACGUCUAUAUGAAAACUAUAUUUUUAAUAUCAGGAAUGCGUUUUACGUAUAAAUUCGUAAUCCUAGAUACUAAAAGAAGACAAAAGGAUUUUUUUUGAAUUUUUGAAAUAUUGGCCUAGUUCUCAUGACUCUAACAAACUUGUUGUUAAAGCCAAAGUGCAUGCUAAUACAUAUAUAUUUUUUUGAAAUUUUUCCCUGUUGUAUGCAAAUAUAAUGUGAUGAUUUUUUAUAUAUAUUUUGGAGAGACUAGGCCGUAUGCAUGAAAACAAAACACUUUUUUAUUUUAUUAUAUAUUUUUUAUGCCUUGAUGAAAACCGGGUAUUUUAAUACUAGAUUUUUAUCUUUACGGUAUAAAAAUACAAACCAAUAUUAAGCAAUAAAAAUAUGCAGGAAAAUCAACAAUUUUUUUAAGGAUUUUUCAGAAUUUUGAAUAUAAAACAUUUUAUAUUUUAUAUUUUUUGAUGUAUUGAUGAAAACCAUGUAUUUUAAUACUAGAUUUGUAUCUUUACAGUAUAAAAAUAAAAACCAAUAUUGAUCAAAAUGCAGUAACAAUAUUGCGGAAAAUCACAAAUUUUUUGAAAUAAUUUUUGAAGAAUUUUGUUUUUUUUAUGGGUCGGGUCCAAUUCGGCCCAUGUGGCUGGGGCGGAACCAAUAGGCCUAACUAGGCUGGACCCGGCCCAAAAGAAGACCGGGCUGAAAUCAGCCUAAAAUAAAAUGGGCCUACCUUCUAUAGGGUUGGACUCAGCCCAGCCGUAGGGCUGGGCUUAUGUUCCAGCCCGAAACAAAUGUGGAGCACAGUCCAGUUAAUUAAUUAGCACAGUAACCAGCUAAUUAUUUUUCUUGCAAGAAGAUGAACAGUAAGAGGGUUGAGGGGAAGAGUUACCAAGGGUGAUGAGCUUGGACGGAGGAGCUCUUCCUCUUCUCUGCUGUUUUUGACGUUGCUUCUUCUCUUGGUUUCCUUUGUUCCCUCUGUUAACGAUAUUCUUCCUUCUCUGCAGCGGCUUCGUGGAGGUGCUGGUGGUGGCGACCUGGGGAGGGGCUGAGAAGGUGGUUUGGCGAUGUUGUUGCUGCAGUUUUUUUUUCCUUCGUAGAGGCGCAGGUUCCUGUUUUUUCUUCAAUGGUGUUGUAGCGUGUGGGAGGAAGAUGAUGAGCUGAGGAAGGAUGACGAUGGCGUGGGCAGUGCUGUUGUGUUUGUGUUCCUGGUGGCGUUGUUGUCGGGGUAUCCGGCUGUGGUCGCUCUUCCUCCUCUCUUCUGUCGUUACUUCUCUCUGUUUAUGUCACCUUGUUUCUCUGCUUCUUCUUCGCUAGCUCUAAAAGGAAGGCAGGCGGUUGUAGUGUGGUUUCAAACGGUGGAGAGAGAGAGAGAGCAGAGAGAGAGGUUACCGUUCUUCUCUUCCCCUCUAUUUUCCUUCUUUCUCUUCUGCCAUGUUUCUCACCUCUCUAUCGUCUUUCGUUAAAAAAAAAACUCUCCCCCUUUCUCUCUUGUUUUUUUUUCCGUCUCUUGUUCAAAAAACAAAAUUGACCCUUCUGUCUCACAAAAAACCUCCCUCCUCUGUUUUGGUUUCUCUCUUCUCUACACUCUCACAGUACCUCUUCUCGUUUCAAACUUCCCUAUCCUUUCAGUUUCCAAAAGCCCUGCCCCUCAUUCUGGUGUUGGGCGCAAUAUUUAUAGAGCAAAGAAAAAGCGUCUUGCUGUCGCGCAUGGGAAGCAGGAGACACCGGGUGAGGUCUCCAACAGGCGUGGCUUUGCAGGGCACGUCUACACUGUUUUCUAGCCAUGGAAUUUUAGGUUUAUGCAGCAGCAUGCAGGGAGAGAGAAGUUUCUCAAAAUGACACUAUUUUUUUUUUUUUGAUAGGGUAUUGAAAAAUGAGUUACAACAAUUGGGAUAUAUGUCAGGAUUCAAUUCUCUUGGGUCCUACAUAGUUUAAGAUUAAUGAAUUUUAGAUUUUUAAAUAUUAUUAUUUAUGUUAUAAAUAUUAUUAUUUUUAUUAUAAUUAAAAAUAUUAAUAUAAAAAUAUUGUUUUUUGUGCUAUAAAUAUUAUUAUUUUUAUUAUAAUUAAUUUUAUUAAUAAAAUAAUUAAUAAAUUUUAAAAAAAAUUAUUAUUAAUAUUGAAAAUCAACCAUAGAUUUGAUUUGAAAUGUAAAAUUGAAAAUUUUUAUUGUUAUCAUUAAUAAAAAAAAAUUAAAAAAAUUAUUAUUACUAUUGAAGAAAACCCAUAAUUUUUCAAAAAGAUUAACAAAUAUAAGAAUUUAGACAGACAAGUUAAAUAUUAUUACUUAUAUUAUAAAUAUUAUUGUUGGGUUUGUCAUUACAGUCAGACUCGACUCCUUUAAUUUUUCUGUUUCAACCAGACCCAAAGCUUUUGAGCCAUAUAUUUUUUUCAUAUUUUUUAUUAAAAUAAAACGUUGGCUGCAAUAUAGUGCAGGCCACCUAACUAAUAAUGGACUCCAAAUAAAUUAAUUCUGCUUCAAGGAAAACAAACAUAUUAAAAUCAUAAAAACAUUUUACUAUAAAAUAUUAUACAGAAUAAACGUAACUUACUCUAAAUUUCCUCAAACAAUCUUGCAUUGCAAGAUUAAAUGGGCAGUAACAACGCCAGGAAAGCUUUCUUGUGGAUUUAAACACAUUUUUCUAUUCCUCUUAAUUAUGGGAGGGGGGAGCUAUCUUCUGCUGUGUAGGAAGAUCUGAUGAAACAAAGGAACAAUUGUUUUCAUUUUACCAAAAACAUAUUUAGUGGAAGACAACCCUGCCAUCACUGGUGAAGAGCAAGGUCGCAUUACUGGGGACUGGGGCGUCAUCCCUUCUAGCAGCCCACACAACAGUCUUUAGUGAAAUCCCGGAUAGAAAAACCCCAAUAGAAUAGCCGUCGCGUUGUCGGAAAAAUCCGAAAGCAUGAAGACCAGAAGGUGACAACCAUAAGGAGUUUGGGUUAGGUGUUAGAGAAGAUCCGAGGGUUAUAUUGGUCUGUCUUUGAGCUGAAGCUGUAAAAGAUAAGGCGAGAAGAAGAAAAAAGAUGAUAGAAGCCAUGGAUAGGGAUUUAGCUCUUGUGUGGUAUGUGAGUGUCAAAAUAAGGAUGUCUAUUGUUCCAGCACUCCAUUAUCUUUCUGUGGUUUCCAGCAGUCAAGCCAGGCACUCAAAACAUAAAAGUCUAGCCAUAGAAUCCACCGCGUUUCCCUACCAAUUGGUGGAAAUUGUUGCUCUUACUUUUAUGCUUUCAAAGUCAAUGCAGUCAACUCACCGAAAAAACUUGGCAAUUACUUGGCGCUGGUCCCCCUUUUCGAUCUUGGUAUCCCCCAUUUGAUCAGCCAUUUGCUAAUUUCCCCUGGACUGUUCUUGGUUCUAAUUUUCUGCAGCAGAUUCUUUUUUAUUUGUCAAGUACCAUCAAUAUGCUUUUGAUAACACAAUCUUGAGCUUCCUGCAGACAGCUUCAACUACUUGAGAGAUGCCAAUUGUGGUGCUAAUGCUAAUACCCCGCCAUAAUACUAGGGCAAGGCAGAACAAAUGGAUUAUAUUCAUGUCCUUCGAUGCAAAAGGCUAGAUAGCAACGUCACUUUCUAACAAAAGAUCAUGUUAUAAUUAACCCUUAUGGACAACUUAAUUAGUUUAUGGACAACUUAAUUAGUCCUUUCUUGAGUUUUUUUUUCAAUAAUCAUGAGUUUGAGUUCUUUCAGAAUCAUUAAAAGUUUACAUGAUCAUUAAAUUAAGAAUAUGUGGGAUUAGUCGAGAUGAGCACAAGUUAAUCCGGACAUCAACGUUAACAAUAAAAAAAAAAAAUCAUGUUAUAAUUUAUAUGUGAAAAGUAGGGAUUUUGAAUUCGGGUAAUCUCAACAAGGUUGUACUUUUCUUUCUCCAGGUCAACUUGGAUCUUCCUCUGUUCUCAUGUUUAGCUUCCUGCAAGAACAUUCCUUCCGAGGCACAUUUUUCCUGAAAUUAUACUAUAUAUGGGAACUUUCAAGUUUUGUUUGAAAUAAAACUUUUAUUUGCUUCCUCACGAUUUCAUUUUAGUCUCGAAUUUAAGAUAUUUUUUCGUAAAUACACUAGUUUGGAUAUGAAUGGCCAGCGUGAAACUUCAUAGAAGAUGGACCGUUGAUUCUAUGGUUUUUUCCACACGUAUUUUGCAGGAACAGCAAGUGGACGUAUGAGUAAAGUAAUGUAUCUCUUGUCCUUGGCUGUAACCGGUCUUUCUUUAUCUUGUAAUAACAAGGUGAGUUCGAUUGAGGGUUCCGCUGUAUGACUAUAUUCAGAGUAUAAUUAAGGUGGUCACAACAGGGACUGAGUCAAUGUACAACCGAGCAUUUGCUGGCAGGCUCUUCUCAGCAAAAAUGUCUUCUCUUACUAGCUUCAAAGCCAGUGGUGUAUCCUCAAUACAAGUUGUUGCAACUCUGAAGAACAUAUUGCUAGUAUUUGUUGAGACUUGAGAAUAACAUUACCCAUCUAGAAACCUGGCCAAAAUAUAGGUUUCAGUUUUCCAGCCAUAAUCCCGACACAUGAGAUAAGGUGGGAAACAACUUUACAGGCAUUAACAUUAGAAGAAAAAUCAACAGGAAGCUAUGCUGCGUAAACAUAAAGGAACUCAGUACGAAAUAGCAAUUUUAUAAAGAAAAGGAAUACAUGACCUGAAAAAUAAAAUACCACACCCUGCAGAUGAAUCUCUUAUUCCGAACCACAAAACGCAGCUCAUAUAGCAGUAAAAAAAGAAGUAGGACUUGGAGGGAUUGGGAUUUCGACUGUCCCCUCCAACAUGAGGAGUACCUUUUUCAUUGAAGGGCGGAGGGAUAGCUCAUCAAGAGUGCACCAAAGUCCCACUUUAACCAUCCUAUCUAACUGUUUCUUUUCGACGAUUUCAUCACCCACAAGUUUGUCCAUAUCACCGUCCAGAAAACAUUGGUAAACCCACUGUUCGAGAACAGCUUCAUCCUCUGGAAGACUCCAAUCCACAUUCUUUCGACAACAUGUGAUCUCCAACAACAUAACUCCAAAGCUAUAAACAUCUGCUUUAACUGUCACCGGCAUAUUCCGGUGCCAUUCUGGUGCUACAUAUCCCCUCGUCCCUCUGAUUCCCGUGAAGGUAUUAGUUUGGUCUGACUUCAGAAUUUUUGCCAAUCCAAAGUCAGAAACUUUGGGGCACCUGCUUUCAUCUAUUAGUAUAUUCUGAGGUUUUAUAUCACAGUGGAUGAUCUGAGUCUCGCACUCUUCAUGUAGAUAAACAAUACCCCUUGCAAUGUUGCGAGCAAUUUCCAACCUUUCAUGGAAGCAAGGUCGUUUUUCAAGUGAGAAGAGUAUGUCAGCGAGGGAGCCAUUGCUCAUGUACUCGUAUACCAGGAGCCUGUGAUGUUCAUCAUGGCAAUAGCCGAGCAGACGGGCUAGGUUUCUGUGAUGUGUUUUCCCAAUGACUUUCAUCUCAUUCUGAAAUUCUCUUUCCCCUUCAGCUAGAACUUUCUCCAGUCUCUUGACAGCAACAACCUUCUGAGUACUUGAUAUGAUCCCUUUAUAAACUGUCCCAAAUGAUCCCCUGCCAAUUUCUUCCUUGAAACCACCAGUAAUAUUUUCUAGCUCUGCAUAAGUGAAAGCUCGAGGAGCAAAUAACCAAGUAAUACAAUAAAUAUAGCAUAAUAGUUUAAGGAAGAUUGCAAGUAGAUCUAACGACAACAUUAAUAGUUGCAUAUGUGUGUGUGUGAAGAUUCAAAAAAACCUAAUUUAGAAAAUACAAAAAAAAAAACCAAGUAAUGAUAGAAAAAUAGAAAGAAAAGUAUUAAAUUCUGUUUAGAUUGUUCACCUAACAAUUUAAAUUUAUUUAAAUUCUAUAUAGAUAUUGUAUUGCGAUUGGUCACGUACCGGUUUGGAUCCAUUUAGAUUUUGAUUUGGUUACCUAACAAUUAAAAUCCAUUUCAAUUUUCAUGUAUUAUCUUUUUAUAUAUAUAUAUAUAAAUUUAUUGUACAAAUAUAAUGGAAAAUGAAUUAUAACUGUUGUAAUCCAUUUUUUAUCUCUAAUUUUUCACAUGUAUUUUCAAAAAUAGAACAAAUCUUCCAAAAUAUAUUUUCAAUGAAAUUCAAUUAUUAUUUAUUUAUUAUUAUUUUUGUGUGCGUGACAAUAUAGAAAAAUAAAAAUAAAAUAAAAUUAAGGAAAUGAAAUGAAAGGCAAGAAAAACUUCAGACCGGUAUGAUUGAUGACUAAAUAAUAUAUGGAAAAUCAAGAUGAGAUUGGAAAAUUUUUGCAAAAAAUCAAUAAGAAGAUGAAAUAAAAUUUUAUAAUAGUAGUUUUCCUGUUUUGAGAGUAUCCCACAAACAACAUAUAUAAACAUGAGAGAACACUACACACACAAGUACACAGAGAUAGAGAGAUUAAAAAAGACAAGUAUACUUUUGGGCUCGUUCUUGGAGCUUACAAGCAAGUUCCAUAUAGGAAAAACCUUGGUCAACAAGAAGAAAAAAUGGCAAAAAUUAGAUUGCUCUCUGCAAGCGUAAUUCAAGCCACUGCUAACAAGGUGACAAAUGAGAGGGCUGAGUUGACUCAAUGUGAUCUAAAGCUUCUUCCGCUAGGUGCUUCUCUUCCUCAAACCCAAAUCAUCAGAAGAUCAAGACUUGUUCAUCCAACAGUUGAAAACGUCACUUUCUCGGACUCUAGAUUUCUUCACCCCUCCCGUGUUGGAAGUUAAAACCGGUGUGGUAUGGGAUCAACACAGUAAUACAAGAUAAAAAAAACUCAAGAACAAAGCUAAACAACAAGAAAAAGAAGGAGAGGAAGCUUGUUAGCCACUGUAGAACAUGAUGAUAACACAGUCUCCAAUUUCAUUGACUGCAAAAAUGCAGGAGCCCAGUUUGUUCAUGGCGCCAUGGCCGAUGGGGUAACCAUGGCUGACAUCCUCCGGCCAGUUUAUGUUCCUCCAAUUGUCCACUCUUUCUUUCCAUUGAAAGGGGUCCUAAACCACGGGGCUACUGAUGUCUCCAAGCCAUUGCAUGCCUGCAGUUCAAGUCACUGAACUUGUUGGUGGCAUCUUUAAUGGCUGUACCAUGAACCAUAUAGUUGUUGAUGGCACAUCGUUUUGAAAUUUCUUCAACUCUUGGUCUGAAAUCCAUCGUGGGUUGGAUCACAUCUCCAAGCCUCCUGUUCUUGAACGUUGGUCACCUCCCAAUCGUAGCUGCAGCUGCCUGAUCCAAAAGCAAUAAGCCGUUGCCUGCAUGCUUGUACCUUUUUUUUCUCCAAAAAAAUGGGUGUAUAAGGGGUAGUUUUUCCAGGCGUAAGACACGUCAUCCAUUAGUGUAUUUCCCGGUUAUUUUCAGUCCUAUAAAUGCAAGGUUUGAUUUACUAUAUCCCUAAAGCUUGAUUUUUAAGUAAUAUUCACCUGAAAACAUCCAAACAAAACUCAAUAAAUCUUUUUUGAAUCCAAAAUUAUCCUCUAAUCAUUCUAAAAAUUAAAAAUCAAACCAAAUGAAAAAAACAUUACAAGCCUUAAAGGGUGUUUGAGAGUGUGGUAGCGGUUGCUUUUCAAAUAGCUUUUCGUGCCGAAAAGCAUGCCAAUAAUAUUUUUUUAUUUUUUAAAAAUCAUUUUUGACAUUAGCACAUCAAAACGAUCCAAAAAAUACAAACCGCACUCAAUUUUAGCAAAAAAUAAAAAUAAAUUUUUUUUGAAUUUUUUCAAAAAGCCGAUUUGGCCGCAAUGCCAAACAGGCAAUUAAUCAAUCUAUCUGUCUAUAUAUAUAUAAAACUGAAAUAUAUAUAAAAAUUGAAAAUUGAAGAUUGCACUAUAUAUAACUAAAGAGUGCAAUUUACAUUGAAGAGGGAAAGUUCUUGCUUUUUUUUUUUUAAUUAUUAUUAUUAAUGUUGAUGUUCGGAUUAGCUUACUCGUACCUCAAUUAAUUUAAAAUGUUCUAAAAUUAACGACCAUGUAAACUCUUCUAGUGAUUCUAAGAUUUAUAAAAUUCAAACCGAUGAUUUUUAAAAAACAAGUCUAGAGUCUAAUUAAUUAAACUAUACCUUUUAAAAUUAAGUUAUUAUUCUUUUAUUCAUAUUGAUUAUUGACAUUUAGCGAAGAUUUGUUUUUUAAAAAUUCAUGUUUGCAUGACUCUCUAAAAGACCCUACACAAGUUCGAUUUUUCUUUUCUUUCAAUUAGAUUUUUUUUUUCUGUUUUCACUUUAAUUAAAUAGAGUCAGGUUGAGCAUCAUAUAUAUUGCACGAUACUCAUCUUAAUGAAAAUAGGAUGAGACUUGGCUAUUAUUUUUUCUAUUAACAAGCUUUAAUAACGUAAUUAUAAUGUAUGUGAAUGAUUGAAUUAUAUUUAAUCGAAUUGUCUAAAUGCAAUGAAUAUAGCAUUAAACUGACUAAAUUCUUUUCAUAAGGGUUUAUUUACUUAUUUAACAAUAAUUUUUAAACUUAAUCCCACAAUUAAUUUGAAUAAGUUUUAGAUCACGAGUCUAUUUAUUUUUUAUUUUAUAAAUGAUAAAAAUAAUAUUAUUUAAAAAAAUAAUAAGUUUUAAUUAAGCUUUUUUUAGAUUGACCAGAUUAUUGGUCAAACCAAGUUUUUUAUCUAGUCAUAUUGAGCUAAGUCUUCUUUUAUUUUUAUUGAAAUUGACUUAAUUAGAUAUCAAAUCACAACUCAACCCUUUAGUCUGUUGAAGUUUUAAAUUAAUGGAUUUAACACAAAUACAAGGUUUGAAUGGGGCUUCUCCAAGGAAAACUCGAAUAAGAGAGCUAUGUUUAGAUGGUGUUUGUGUGUGAGUUUUAAUUAAUUAAUUUUAUUAAAAUUUGAAUUUUUUUAAUUAUUAUUUUAGUAUUUUUUGAUUGUUUUAAUAUGGUGAUAUUAAAAAUAAAUUUUAAAAAAGAAAAAAAUAUAUAUUUUUAAUAUUUUUCAAAUACAAAAUAUUUAAAAAAAAUUAUUGAUAGACUGUUAAAUACUCUUUCAAAUAAAAAAUAUUUUUAAAAAAUAUAUUAAAAGCCCCCUUUAAGCUUACCAAAACCUCAGAGCAAAAAACAAGAAAGGAAAAGAGUAAAACAAAAUGGCUCCAGCCAAGAAAGGAAAACCGAAGGCAAACUCGGCCGUGUCAACUCAGUCAAAACCCACAGCCCCAAGUCCCCAAAACAAUUUCCCAUCUUGCAUACGUGCAGUCCCUCCUUCCUCCGUCGCCAUCACCAUCCACGCCAAACCCGGUUCCAAAUCCGCCUCCAUCACUGGUGGGUCUAUACACACGUGCAAAAGGACUGUUUUGAUUCUUGUUUAGGUUAAAAAAUUAAAGCUUCAAUGUGUUUUUUUCUUCCUGAUAUUGUAUGUAGAUUUGAGUGAUGAAGCGGUGGGAGUACAAAUAGAUGCACCUGCUAAAGAUGGUGAAGCUAAUGCUGCACUUCUUGAUUACAUUAGCUCUGUAAGUCUUUUUUUUUUCCCUUACGUUAUAAGUUGGUUAUUCGUUUUUAAUGUUUUGUGAUAGAGAAUUAUUGGCUUAAUUUUCGAGAAUUUUACAGGCAUGUGUGAUGUUAAUCAAUGCCUGUCAAAUUUUUUGAUGUUUCGGUACUACGCAUAUGGAGAGAAAUAUUUUGAGUUGGUACAGUUUUGGCUGAAUUUUCUAGAGGAAAGGAGAUUUGUAGCAUGAGGUCGGGAGACGAAAGUGGCUUUUUUUUUUUUUGGAGAGAAACGGUAGAACGGAUUCUUACGGUUCAUCAAAUUUUACAGGCAUGUGUGAUGUUAAUCAUUGCCUGUCAAUUUUUUUGAUGUUUUGGUACUACGCAUAUGGAGAGAAAUAUUUUGAGUUGGUACAGUUUUGGCUGAAUUUUCUAGAGGAAAGGAGACUUGUAGUAUGAGGGCGGGGGAUGAAAGUGGCCUUUUUUAUAUUUUUUUGGAGAGAAAUGGUAGAACAGAUUCUUACAGUUCAUGAAUUAAUUAGAGAGGGUUUUAUUUUGUCUUUGGGCUUGCAUGCAAAAGGAAUGGUGAAUCUAUAGUCCUUAUAUUUAGCCUAUCAGUAUUUUGAUGAUGGAUUUGCUGGAUUCUAGACAUGCGCAAUGAGUUAGAAAACAGCAUCAAUGUGCUUAAUGUAGAGUAUUUGGAAGCAGUCAAAUAUUGAUGCUUUUUUUGGGAUCAUGGCUCGUGUCCUUGAGAUUAUUUUGAAAGAGGGUUAUGCUGGCACUUUGUUAACUUCUAUUGGGAGUUUUUAUUAUGAUAGUGUAUCUGGCAUUUUCCUAUUUCAUCAAGUUGGUGUAAGUAUUUGAUGCAAGUUGAGGAUUGAGUUAAUUUUGAACGCAUAUGGUAAUAAUAAUUUUUUUACUGACCUUUUGAAACCAUGAAUUGCUAGGAAGAGUUUGAAAUUGAAAGAGGAUGAAAGAGUAAAUGCAUUAAGAGAGAGGAUGCGAUUUCAUGAGUGAUAUAAUCAACUGGGAUCCCUGGCUUAGCCCAAUAGUAGAUGAAAAGCUUCUCUCUUCCAUAGGAUAAGUGUGAUUUAGAGCAUUUAAUCUUCUGAAAAAAUAAUAAUGAGGUGUUUACUGUUCAAUCACAACUGUAAACAUGGUUGAAUAACUGAAGAGAGUUAUUUAUGAAAAUUAACAAAUUCUUGUCGUGAUAUCUUGCAUUUAGAUAGAGAACCUCCUCUGUUUUAGUACAGAAAAGGUUCACAAGUAUGGUUCUCUCAACCAACAGGUGUUGGGGGUGAAGCGGAGGCAGGUAUCCAUAGGCUCUGGUUCUAAAUCGAGAGACAAGGUGGUGAUUGUGGAGGAGGUAACUCUACAAAAUGUUUUUGAUGCUUUGGAGAAAGUGUCCAAAUGCUGCUAAUUUAAAAAGAAGAAGAGAGGUUCAGUGUGCUUUCGUUAACAAGAGAUAUGAUUUACAUGAUCUUAUACUGAACACAAGGUAUUUGGAUAGGACAACAUUCCUAGUCCACGCUGAUGUUUAAAAUAGUUUGGUCUGUAGUUUUGUUUCUUCUAUCUCACACUGAAACAAUAAUCUUUUUAUUUAAAACUGUAAGUACAGAAGCUGUAGUGUUACUUAUGAAUAUAAUGACUGAUGUUCCAUGAAUAUUCAAGUUAGAUGCUAAUUUAUUCAUCUUCACCAUGGUUCUUCUAGUUCUCAUUUUUCUUUAUGAUUUCUUCCCCCUUUUUUCUUAUGAAUUUCACUAAGAGAUCAUUAUAGCUAUACUUUUGCACGACAGGCUUGCUAAUACCUAGCGACAUGCUGUGAAAACCAUCUUAUUUUGUCCUCCAGCUUUUGAUUCUUCUGGCUGUUUUGCCAUUAAUAAUGCUAGAUUUAAGGUUUAGGUCCGCUGUUGUUAUUACCUGAUUUUUGUGUAAUUCGCCUAUAAAUGAAAUUACUCUCUAGUGAUAAAAGGAAUGGAGUGCAGAUAUUGUGUCAUGAACAAAAGGCUAGUAUUUGUUUAUUGCAGGAGCAAGAGAAGUCUCGGCUCAUACUUGGCCAGGAAAACAUUUAUCUUUUUCACACUGUAUAAGCAUUUUGUCAUGAGGGUAAUCUUAUUGAUUAAGAAUCAUCUAUCAGAAGUGGAGUAUCCUCAAUACAAGUUGUUGCAACUCUGAAGAACAUAUUGCUAGUAUUUGUUGAGACUUGAGAAUAGCAUUACCCAUCUAGAAACCUGGCCAAAAUUAUAGGCUUCAGUUUUCCAGCCAUAAUCCCGACACAUGAGAUAAGGUGGGUAACAACUUUACAGGCAUUAACAUUAGAGGAAAAAUCAACAGGAAGCUCCCAAAUGCUGCGUAAACAUAAAGGAACUCAGUACGAAAUAGCAAUUUUAUAAAGAAAAGGAAUACAUGACCUGAAAAAUAAAAUACCACACUCUGCAGAUGAAUCUCUUAUUCCGAACCACAAAACGCAGCUCAUAUAGCAGUAAAAAAAGAAGUAGGACUUGGAGGGAUUGGGAUUUCGACUGUCCCCUCCAACAUGAGGAGGACCUUUUUCAUUGAAGGGCGGAGGGAUGGCUCAUCAAGAGUGCACCAAAGUCCCACUUUAACCAUCCUAUCUAACUGUUUCUUUUCGACGAUUUCAUCACCCACAAGUUUGUCCAUAUCACCGUCCUGAAAACAUUGGUAAACCCAUUGUUCGAGAACAGCUUCAUCCUCUGGAAGACUCGAAUCGACAUUCUUUCGACAACAUGUGAUCUCCAACAACAUAACUCCAAAGCUGUAAACAUCUGCUUUAACUGUCACCGGCAUAUUCCGGUGCCAUUCUGGUGCUACAUAUCCCCUAGUCCCUCUUAUUCCGGUGAAGGUUUUAGUUUGGUCUGACUUCAGCAACUUUGCCAAUCCAAAGUCAGAAACUUUGGGGCACCUGCUUUCAUCUAUUAGUAUAUUCUGAGGUUUUAUAUCACAGUGGAUGAUCUGAGUGUCGCACUCUUCAUGUAGAUAAACAAUACCCCUUGCAAUGUUGCGAGCAAUUUCCAACCUUUCAGGGAAGCAAGGUCGUUUUUCAAGUGAGAAGAGUAUGUCAGCGAGGGAGCCAUUGCUCAUGUACUCGUAUACCAGGAGCCUGUGAUGUUCAUCGUGGCAAUAGCCGAGCAGACGGACUAGGUUUCUGUGAUGUGUUUUCCCAAUGACUUUCAUCUCAUUCUGAAAUUCUCUUUCCCCUUCAGCUAGAACUUUCUCCAGUCUCUUUACAGCAACAACCUUCUGAGUACUUGAUAUGAUCCCUUUAUAAACUGUCCCAAAUGAUCCGCUGCCAAUUUCUUCCUUGAAACCACCAGUAAUAUUUUCUAGCUCUGCAUAAGUGAAAGCUCGAGGAGCAAAUACCUCAUUCAAUGCAGUGCCAUCAUUAUUGGGCACCCUUUUAUAUGCCAAUACAUGAUAUCUGUAAACGAUGAUUCCGAAAAUCGACACCAUAGCAAGCCCAAAAACAACAAAUGAACCACUUAUUAUUCGGAUAGUCCUGCCACUGCCAAGGUUCUUCUCGGUUAUAGGCUCUUUUCUGUCCAUGGGUCUACCCACCUUGACGACAGCCAAGUUCGAACUGUCCAAGUUUCUCCUCCCAUAUCUCAAAGGAAACCUUUGCUUUCUGCAGUACUGCCCAUCAGUGAAUAAUGCUGCUUCACAGUUACAGUCUUCCAAACAGGCUUGCUUACAAUUGUCUUUCGUUGUUGAUGACAAAACGGAGUAUGAAACAUCUUCCCAGACAAUAUUAGACAGCUCUUCCAUGGUGUAUGUGCUACUUCCAUUCUUGUCCCUUGCAACUUACAGCAUCGAAAUCCCUCUCACAGCCAGAAGUCCAAUUUCCCUGGGUAACAAACUUAAAUCCAGGAAGACAAAUACAUUCAGCUUCCUGAUCCUUCAUAACACAAUAUCCAUUAAGACCACAUGAUCCUUUCGGGUCGCACUUGUUGCUUGUGGAUGACCACACAUCUGACCAGUUUCCAUUCCGUAUCAGAUUUCGUGAAUAUAAUCUGAAAAUCCCAUCAGCAUCAAGUUUCAUAAUAUUAAUUGUUUCUUUCGUGGGAUAUCCUCCAGCUGUAAUGUUUUUUAUGUUGAAUCCUGUGGAAUUGAGCAGGUAGAGACGGCCAUCCGGAUCAAGAUUUAGGGUCACAUCAUCUCCCUUCCCAUCAGUAAAAGAUGAAAAAUAAGAAUAUGGAGCUGUAUCUGGAGUAUUAACAGGAUACUGCACAAGGUUGCCAUCAUUUUGCAUCUUGAGUCGGUAAAUACCAGUUGAGAGGUCAGUUUCUGAAACAGGAGAAAACAGCUCUGCACCCGCUUUGAGCUGUUGAGUUGGCAAAAGGGUAUCUGUUGGGUGCUCAAAACUCUGCCAUAUAAUCUGGCGAUCAGAAUUAUAUAGCACAAAGUUGCCUGAAUCAGACAUAGAAGCUAAAGAAGCUGGCUGGGAAGCAGAAACUAUCGCAGUCUCACCCCCUUGUGCUGAUGUCAAGACAACCCUGCCAUCACUGGUGAAGUUCAAGGUCGCAUUACUGGGGACUGGGGCAUCAUCCCUUCUAGCAGCCCACACAACAUUCUGUAGUGAAAUCCCGGAUAGAAAAACCCCUAUAGAAUAGCCAUCGCGUUGUCGGAAAAAUCCGAAAGAAUAAAGACCGGAAGGUGACAACCAUGAGGAGUUUGUGAUAGGUGUUAGAGAAGAUCCCAGGGUUAUAUUGGUCUGUCUUUGAGCUGAAGCUGUAAAAGAUAAGGCGAGAAGAAGAAAAAAGAUGAUAGAAGCCAUGGAUAGGGAUUUAGCUCUUGUGUGGUAUGGAGUGUCAAUUUAAGGAUGUCUAUUGUUCCAGCACUCCAGUCUCUUUCUUUGGUUUCCAGCAGUCAAGCCAGGCACUCAAACAUAAAAGUCUAGCCAUAGAAUCCACCGCGUUUCCCUACCAAUUGGUGGAAAUUGUUGCUCUUACUUUUAUGCUUUCAAAGUCAAUGCAGUCAAGUCACCGAAAAAUCUUGGCAAUUACUUGGCUCUGGUCCACUUUUUCCAUCUUUUGUAUCCCCCAUUUGAACAGCCAUUUGCUAAUUUCCCCGUGACUAUUCUUGGUUCUAAUUUUCUGCAGCAGAUUCUUUUUAUUUGCCAAGUACCAUUCAAUACGCUUUGAAGACACGAUCUUUAGCUUCCUGCAGACAGCUUCAACUAGUUAAGAAACAUCGAUUGUGGUGCCAAUGGUAAUACCCUGGCAUUAUACUAGGGCAAGACAGAACAACUUGCUAGCUUAUAGAAAUGUCCCUCAAAUGCUAAAGCCUAGCUAGCAACCUCAGUUUCUAACGAAAGAGCAUCUCUACAUGUUGCGUAACUAACAAUCCCUUGAAUAUUAAAACUGAAAAGUGGAACUCAUUGGACCGUUGAUUUUAUGAUCAAUUCCACCGUACGACUUAAUUCAGAGUACAAUUGAGGUGGUCACGGCAAGGACUGAGUCAAGGGACAACCUAGCAUUUGCUGACCUGCUCUUCUCAGCAAAAGCUUCUUCUCUCACCAGCUUCAUGCCAUGGUUGCUGAUUGGAGGGGCUUUAUAAUUUAUUUAUUACAAAUGUGCUAUGAAAAAGAAAAAAAAUGCUAUGAUAUUAAAAAAAAAAAAAGAAUUUCCUCGUAGCUAUGAUAUUUGUGAUAUUAAUUAUGUUACACUUGUGAUCAUGUUGAUGAGAAUAAUAAUAAAUUCAUAUCGUUUUAGUAAUGUUUAUGUUAGCAAGUAAUGCUACUGAAGGUAAAGAAGCUGUGACGAAGAUGAUGGUGAUGUAAUGGUAAUGACGAUUAAAGUGAUUCAAAAAUAUUUUUCUUUUGAUAAUUUAUUAGUGUAUAUAUUUCAAAUGUUUAAGAUAUUUUUCAAAUAAAUGUACCUUAACUAUGAUAAAUGAUAUAUUCUCCGUUUGUUUGCAAUUUGAUUGUAAAGGCUUCCUUUUAACAUAAUUCUGCUUGAUAUACUCCAUGUAAUUACAAACUAAUUAGCUCAUUUUGGUCUUCUCACUUCUGGCAAUUAGUCAGUUUGAUGGCAACGUGCAACAAUGUACGGUCACCAACUGUUGUAUUGGACUUCGAUUCACCAAUAAUGCCCUGCAACUGAGUUUGAGCGUAGGAAUGGACAUUUGCAUUUUAGGCAAGGAAUUGCCUUGUAGAAUAGAAGAAGAAGAAGAAGAAGAAGGGGAAAAAACAAGCAAAGAUCAUAGUCUCAUUAAUUCUAUUCUUCGUAAAGAGCUCACUCUUGAGAUAACAUAAGAUCAACAAACGUUGUUUGUACUAAGAACACGUGAAGCUUUCAUGCUAACAUUUUCUUUUCUCCUCUUUAUAAAACUUUUUUUUUAAUAUAUAAGAUACGAUGGGAAACAACUUUACAGGCAUUAACAUUAGAAGAAAAAUCAACAGGAAGCUCCCAAAUGCUGCGUAAACAUAUAGCAAUUUUAUAAAGAAAAGGAAUACAUGACCCGAAAAAUAAAAUACAACACUCUGCAGAUGAAUCUCUUAUUCGGAACCACAAAACGCAGCUCAUAUAGCAGUAAAAAAAGAAGUAGGACUUGGAGGGAUUGGGAUUUCGACUGUCCCCUCCAACAUGAGGAGGACCUUUUUCAUUGAAGGGCGGAGGGAUGGCUCAUCAAGAGUGCACCAAAUUCCCACUUUAACCAUCCUAUCUAGCUGUUUCUUUUCGGCGACUUCUUCGCCCACAAGCUUGUCCAUAUCACCGUCCUGAAAACAUUGGUAAACCCACUGUUCGAGAACAGCUUCAUCUUCUGGAAGACUCCAAUCCACAUUCUUUCGACAACAUGUUAUCUCCAACAACAUAACUCCAAAGCUGUAAACAUCUGCUUUAACUGUCACCGGCAUAUUCCGGUGCCAUUCUGGUGCUACAUAUCCCCUCGUCCCUCUGAUUCCGGUGAAGGUUUUAGUUUGGUCUGACUUCAGCAACUUUGCCAAUCCAAAGUCAGAAACUUUGGGGCACCUGCUUUCAUCUAUUAGUAUAUUCUGAGGUUUUAUAUCACAGUGGAUGAUCUGAGUGUCGCACUCUUCAUGUAGAUAAACAAUACCCCUUGCAAUGUUGCGAGCAAUUUCCAACCUUUCAGGGAAGCAAGGUCGUUUUUCAAGUGAGAAGAGUAUGUCAGCGAGGGAGCCAUUGCUCAUGUACUCGUAUACCAGGAGCCUGUGAUGUUCAUCAUGGCAAUAGCCGAGCAGACGGACUAGGUUUCUGUGAUGUGUUUUCCCAAUGACUUUCAUCUCAUUCUGAAAUUCUCUUUCCCCUUCAGCUAGAACUUUCUCCAGUCUCUUUACAGCAACAACCUUCCGAGUACUUGAUAUUAUCCCUUUAUAAACUGUCCCAAAUGAUCCCCUGCCAAUUUCUUCCUUGAAACCACCAGUAAUAUUUUCUAGCUCUGCAUAAGUGAAAGCUCGAGGAGCAAAUUCCUCAUUCAUUCCCGUACUAUCAUUACUGGGCACCUG
rnacentral:lncRNA from 1 species